UUUUUUUUUUGGGUUGAGGUCAACAAGAGCAAGUUUAAUGGUAUCGAAUAGUGCGUAACUGAAAUAAAACUUGUUGAAAAAUCAUUCAUUCACUAUUCCUCGGCGCGUGAGGCCAAUUUGACCCCUUCCCCCACGAAAUUAAACUUGGGGAGUACUAAAAGUCUAAACCAGCAACGUCGCUUUUCAUGUGCCUUAAUCACACCCUUUUCUGCCACGUGUACGAUCUGGGACCGUCGUUGUGCUCAUUGACAUUUGUAGAUCCCUUUCUAGAUGUUCAUUAAAAUUACUUAAUUUAUAUCCAGUCCUUCUACUUUUAGUUUUUUGAUACUUUAAUCCCUGUUGUUUUAAUGAUACUUCAUUCAGUAUCCAUCCAAAAUCAAAUUAAAUCCAUAGAUUAAGAUGUACAUUUUUGAAAAUAAUAAAUGGUUUAUUAUAAUAUGUUACUAAAUUUAUGGUAUUUUUCGCUCUUGUAUUGACUUUUACAUGGAUACAUUAAUUUUAAUCUUCUUUGAUUUCUGUUAAUUUUCUUUGAAUUCAUUUUAUACAUUUAUUAGUGAACUAUUCUAAAAAUUAACAAAAUCAUUUAAACCGACAAAAAAAACUUUAAAAGAUCAGCGUAUUAUAAACCAACGGGGGAUAGUUUGCAUUAGGUAUUGGACAUCUGGGGGGUAAAUAGAGCGAAACAAAAGUUGAGGCUUGUUUUUCAACAUUUUCAUUUUAUUGUGUGCUAUUUAAACUGCGUCGUAUUUGGAGGCAUAUUCGCCGGUCAAGCGUAUCAAAUACCCAAUCACGCGAACUUUUCUCCGCCUCUUCUCCACUCCAAAAUUCUUCUCCGUCUUUCUCCCGUCACCGUCGAAUAAAGCCUGAGAUCUCCGAAUUCUGAUCAGCAACUAUGCAUUCAAGUCAUCUCCUUCUCGAGGAACCGAUCAGGAUGACUUCAAUCCUCGAACCUUCUAAAUCAGUGAGCUAUUUAUUUCUCCUUCUCUCGCUCUGUGUGUUUUCUGUGGUUGUUUUGAUUUCCUUAGCUCGUUGUUGAUUAUCGAUUACGUUUGGAUCUGUUGCGAUAUUUCAUCCAUUUUGAAGCAGUGAGAGAUUUGUUUCGUUUGUCGUGGUUUUUGAUCCGCUUGAUGUUAUUUCGCAGAGUUUCUUCCCGGCUUUGACUAAGAUUGUUGGGACUCUAGGUCCGAAAUCUCGAUCCGUCGAGGUGAUUGCUGGUUGUCUCAAAGCUGGAAUGUCCGGUAAUUGCGAUUACUUCACUAUUUGAUACGUGAUUCGCCUGGGGUUCUCUUUACUGGUUACUGAUGUGUCGUUCUUUUUGCAGUGGCUCGAUUCGAUUUCUCUUGGUGCGAUGCUGAUUAUCACCAGGAGACGCUGGAGAAUCUGAAGAUAGCUGUGAAGAGCACUAAGAAGCUUUGUGCUGUAUGUUUUCUCUUUUCUUUGGUUUUGCUCUGCUGGAUCUUAUUUGGUAAUGCUUAAUACCAUGAAUUAAGAUUGUGGUUUAUGGCUUUUCCAGGUUAUGCUAGACACUGUAGGACCUGAGUUGCAAGUUAUUAACAAGACUGAGAAAGCUAUUUCUCUUAAAGCUGAUGGCCUUGUAACUUUGACUCCGAGUCAAGAUCAAGAAGCCUCCUCUGAAGUCCUUCCCAUUAAUUUUGAUGGGUUAGCGAAGGUUUCUAUAUAUAACCCUUACCGUUUAUUUUUUGGGAGAAGAUGAUUAUUGCUUCGUGUCUAUAGGGUUUGAUGGAUGUUAUUGUUUGAUGUAUUCAGGCGGUUAAGAAAGGAGACACUAUCUUUGUUGGACAAUACCUCUUCACUGGUAGUGAAACAACUUCAGUUUGGCUUGAGGUAUAAAAGAAUUUUGCUUAUGGAACCACUCUACACUGUUCUCUGGAAUUCAAAUUUAGACUUUAGAUGUUUUUUUUGUGAGAAGACUAACCAUUUAAACAAACCUUCAGGUUGAAGAAGUUAAAGGAGAUGAUGUCAUUUGUAUUUCAAGGAAUGCUGCUACUCUGGGUGGUCCGUUAUUCACAUUGCACGUCUCUCAAGUUCACAUUGAUAUGCCAACCCUAACUGAGAAGGAUAAGGAGGUAAGUGUUGCUUAUAAUUUACAUAUCUCAGUGACUGCUUUGCUCUGUCUCUAGUAAUAUUCUAGCUUAUCUGUUCGAGUGCUUUAACUAUUUUGUUCUGUUUUGGUUCUCUUCUAGGUUAUAAGUACAUGGGGAGUUCAGAAUAAGAUCGACUUUCUCUCAUUAUCUUAUUGUCGACAUGCAGAAGAUGUUCGCCAGGUCCAUAUUCUUUUUCAUAAUAUAUUUUUUCCACCUUAGAAGUAUGGCUACUUCGUUUGGGUUCUUUACUCACUACUAAUUCUGAGCUUCUGAUACGCUUGAAUUAUCAUUUUUGUGCCACAACACAGGCCCGUGAGUUGCUUAACAGUUGUGGUGACCUCUCUCAAACACAAAUAUUUGCGAAGAUUGAGAAUGAAGAGGUAAGUGAAAUGCAUUUAUUUUGCCUUUACAUGUUUCCUCUGCAACUUUUCUGUGAUGGUGCUGUACUGCUGUUUAUAUUUACCGAUGUGUAUUUGAUUUUAGGGACUAACCCACUUUGACGAAAUUCUACAAGAAGCAGAUGGCAUUAUUCUUUCUCGUGGGAAUUUGGGUAUCGAUCUACCUCCGGAAAAGGUAUGAUGUUGGUCAGUCAAAUCAAUACGUUUGGGUCCAAACCCCUACGCACUUUCUAUGUAGAUUGGUGUGUGACUGUGUGUCUUAUUAGACGAUUAGUGAUUUUCUGGAACGAAGUACUAAGUUGACCGAAAAACUUGUAGGUGUUUUUGUUCCAAAAGGCUGCUCUUUACAAGUGUAACAUGGCUGGAAAGCCUGCCGUUCUUACUCGUGUUGUAGACAGUAUGACAGACAAUCUGCGGCCAACUCGUGCAGAGGCAACUGAUGUUGCUAAUGCUGUUUUAGAUGGUAUACUUAGUUUCUGAAAUAUGUAUUUUGUACUGCUUAUAAUUUAUAGGAGGGAAUACAUAUUUGUGGAUCAUAGUUUUGGUCAUAACUUUAAGAGGGUUUCUUUCCUUUCGCUUCCUGCAGGAAGUGAUGCAAUUCUUCUUGGUGCUGAGACUCUUCGUGGAUUGUACCCUGUUGAAACCAUAUCAACUGUUGGUAGAAUCUGUUGUGAGGUAGGCUUUAUCGUACUGUUCUAAAGUAUUAUUAUUUCCAUCACCUUCUUAGUAUCUCAAUCAUCUUAGCCAUGGUUUGUCAUCUGAUUUCUCUUAUGCAUUGAUUACUUGUUUAUAGGCAGAGAAAGUUUUCAACCAAGAUUUGUUCUUUAAGAAGACUGUCAAGUAUGUUGGAGAACCAAUGACUCACUUGGAAUCUAUUGCUUCUUCUGCUGUGAGCCUCUCUUUUGUGUUACCUAUGUAACUUAAAAGCUGACAAGUUGCCUUUCAAGUUUUCUAACUUAAUGGCUUAAAUUCUGCUUGAUAUCAGGUACGGGCAGCAAUCAAGGUUAAGGCAUCCGUAAUUAUAUGCUUCACCUCGUCUGGCAGAGCAGCAAGGUUCACACCAUUCCUUCCAACUUAAACUGUUCGUACAUUUAAAUUCUAAUGUAGCUGUCUAAUAAAUGUUUUAUCCAUAUCGUGAAAGGUUGAUUGCCAAAUACCGUCCAACUAUGCCCGUUCUCUCUGUUGUCAUUCCCCGACUUACGACAAAUCAGCUGAAGUGGAGCUUUAGCGGAGCCUUUGAGGUAAACUUUCAUCCUGAUUGUGUGAAUUUUGAAAAAGAAUUGGGAUUUUCUAAUGCCACUUGUCAAGAUUCAAUGAUUAUGGUUGUUACUUGCUUAUGACUGCAUAUACUAUUUGGCAAUUGUCCCCAUGAUGCAAAGGAAUAACAACUCUUAAAUGUGCUUUAUAAUUGAAGAUAAAAAAGAAAGUUACCCUUUGGAAUAAUGUCACCUCUUAUAGAUUUCUAUGUAUGACUAGAAAAGCUUUUGUCAUAUCUGAAUUGCAUAUAUGGACUUUCUUUUGAUUAUUGCUCAAACUUAACAUCGUGUUUGUGCCUAUUGUUGUCUCAGGCAAGGCAGUCACUUAUUGUCAGAGGUCUUUUCCCCAUGCUUGCUGAUCCUCGUCACCCUGUAAGUCUCUAUUGCAUAGAAUUUGAUUCAUUGCAAAAAGAUUCUUGCUUGCAAAUUUAGUGCUAUAGUUGCAAUUGUAACUUUAGUGGGGUUUGAAACCGUAUUUUCUCUAAUGUAUUGUGAAUCCUCUUGUUCAGGCGGAAUCAACAAGUGCAACAAAUGAGUCGGUUCUUAAAGUGGCUCUAGACCAUGGGAAGCAAGCCGGAGUGAUCAAGUCACAUGACAGAGUUGUGGUCUGUCAGAAAGUGGGAGAUGCGUCCGUGGUCAAAAUCAUCGAGCUAGAGGAUUAGAAGAAGCAGAGUGAGUCGUUGUCUCGGUCUUUUUUGUUCUGUUACUAAUCAAUUUUAUUUCCUUCACUAAAACUCUUGGUGCCGUCCAAGAAAAAUCCUUGCAAUCAUUGUUUCUCGCCGGCUAUAUGCUAGAUACCGGAGUGAAAAUAUAUCUCCUGGGCUUUUGUUUUCGUAUUUAGGAGAUUGAUGUUUCCAAGUUAUGAUAUAAACCACUUUCCACUUUAUGCAUAAUAUCUCCAUCCCCUAGUAACCAUAGUUCUAUAUACAUUGUUUUAUUGAAAAUUAAUUUUAUUGAUAAGAAAUCCAACUAAGAAUAAAUACGAUGAGUAUAUAUUAUGAAUUACAAAUCUGCAAAAACGUGGAAGUUUUUGGAGUCAAGGGCGAUGAGCCUAAGAGCUGCAAUGGCGGCAGCAACAGACAUCAAACUGAAGAAGACAACGUUGAGCCAAUGGCAUAGCUUUUGCAAAGUAUUGAGCUUAUUGUUCUUAGCCUUAUAGUACAUGUGGUUGGCUAGAAUGAAUGUAAGGGGGAAUGUGCUCACUGCACCAGUGAGGCUCAUGAAGUCCCCAAGGAACGGCAAGAGUGCUGAGAGAAGCGUACUAACUGCUAUGUACCCGCCUCUUGCCAUGAUCCUAAACAACAAGUUCUUUAAUGCCAAUGGGUUUCCUUUGAUCCCAAACUUGGUGUCCAUGUACUCAUAUGUUGGACUUGCAAAAAUCUACAAAAAUUGAGUAAGAACGGAUUGACUAACACAUAAUUCUUUUCUCGAAGAGAAACUUACGUGCAACGAGAUAACGGAUUGAAGGAUAGCGGAGAUGUUAGCAAGGGCUUUAACCCAAAGUGGACCAUUAACGUUGUUUAGUAGAUAGGGCGAGGUCGAGGAUCCGUAAGCCCAAUACCCGAUGAAUACAACCGCAAACAUCGGUAAAACACCCACCGUGAAUUGAAAGUAUAGAGCCUUCAUCAUGUUUUUUACUACUGGUUGCUUUACUGUUGCCUAUCAAUAUCAUGACGGAAAAAGCAGUGUAGAUUAGAAGGAUUGUCAAGCAGUGUAGUAAAAUACACACACUAAACCUUUGAAGCCUAAAACAUGAAGCUAAAAAUCUCGAAAAAAAAGAAAUCACCUGAAUUUCUGGAAGCAUCCCUGUGUUGAAUACGAAAACUAGUGUAGCGGCUGCUCCAGUGAUGGUAAAAAGUUUGCUUAGUGGUGAUCCUUGUAUCUCGUAAUCUCUUGAAGGUGCUUUAACUCCUACAAAAGCAAAAAUAUAAGGGAAGUAUCUGAAUUGUCAGAAGCUAUAAAAUCCAUAAGUAAUGGCUAACGCCUGAUCAUUACAUAAGUUAUACCAUCUUUAACCGAUAGCACGAUUGCCACAACGAUAUAGAUGAGGCUGAGGAUAGUCGAAACCGCAAGCCAUAUCCCAAGAGCCGACAAAUGAGGAAUUCCAAUAGCAAAAACCGCACAAAUCAGACCCGCAAUAGCUAUAAAAUGAGGUAACUUCAUGGCAUGAUCAUCCCUAAAAAGCACAUAAACAGCCUGCAGAAAACAGAACACACCCCAAACAUAACUGACUUCUGGCUCACGGAAUCAAGAAUCAAGAGAGAAAAAUGUUUACUACGUACCUUUAAGGCGGAACCAGCUAGUAUGAUGAAACCACAAUUAAUCAUGAAAAGAUUGACAUAUUGCAACACCCAUGUAAGACAAUAAGCCUUUCUACCUGAAAAAGAGAUAAAUAUUUCAGUGAAAGUAACAGAGAAGAUAGAGAAAGAUAAAGCAAAGAGAGCUGGUUUACCGUAAAUGAAUCCCGCAAGGUCUCUAUAGCGAAUGUGUCUUUUGCCACCAAACUCAUGAAGCUUGGCUACGAGAGUGUUUGCAUAGAGUGAGAUUGCAGUAGCAAGAAUAAGACCAACCACACCACCAAUCCAUCCUAAAGGAACCAUGACUGUUCCUGAAUAUCCCAACACGUAUGCGCUGUUUAUACUUGUUGUCAGAACGAACGCUGCCUGAAACCAUGAAUCUGUAUAUUCCACAAAACUUACUAAUUAGCUUUCCCCAAUAUGCGAUCAUAUCAGCUUCUAAACAGUUCCGCUUAAUAUUGCAAACAUGCAUAAAGAAGAAGCAAAUGGAAUUCUUAGGUCACAUUUCUUUCUUUCUUGUAAAUGAUUUUCAUAGUUUAAAGAAAAAAUAGUAAUAAAGAAACUGAAAUUGAGCACUAAUCCAACGUUAAUUAAAUAGAUAAAUUGAGAAAUCUUAAGCAGUAAAAUUAAUAUAACAAAACAAAAAGAGGGAGAAAACGAAUGACAAACCGCUGCUAAUCUGAUGAGCAGUGUCAGGGAUUUCGAUAUCAACACCUUCCCCGACAUUGUUUAUGCGAUUCUUAGAGUUCAUGACCUCUCCAAAUGGUUAUUGUGUCUCUGUAGCUAAGAGACUUUCCCUAUAUAAUAGAUGGUCGGUAACAACGGGACAGACUAUGGUGAGAAAUCAAGUCCAACUAGAAGUGGCGGAGAGAUUUUUAAAAGAUUUUAGAAAUCAGAAGUUGUUGAACAGUUUCUUUCAUUAUAUACGAAUUACGAAGCAAGCACAAUUAAAAUGUGGUGAAUGAAGAAAUUUCUUUGGAAUUGAGUGGUUCAGAUCUAGACACAAUCAUUUACUGCAAAAUUGGGAUAAUAUAUGAACAAAUUGUACAAAUGAUAGUGUUAGACUUAUCACAAAACAAUCCAAAACAAAAAAAACAUCAACUCUGAAAUGUAUGUGGCUGUGAAUUUGGAAAGACACUUAAAUGUUUCUUUAGACCGUUGAAGUGUUGUUGGGAAAUGAGUGUACGCAGCUUGAUCCUUAAAGAUUUUUUGGACAUUUCUGCCGUCUUGUUGUUAGGCUGAAUAAGACUAGAUACGAAAAUAUGUAACGUGACACGAAAGAUAAUAAAUAGGCCAAAAGUUUAUAGUGUACUAAAUUCUCUUAGAGUUUUGACUUUUUAUUGUUUGAUUUAUUUAAAAAGUGGCCGGCCGGGACCUCUAUCAACACAUUUAUGUUAGACCAAUUUUUUGGUUGAAUACUUAAAACCAUUCUUUUCAAAUGUGACAUCACAAUACGAUAUAUCAACAUCCGCUAAAACUGAAAUAACACUUUUUCUUUUUUAGAGUAUACAUAACACUGAAAUUGAAAUUGAAAGCUAGCUUUAGAGAUCUAAUGAAGAGUUGCAACAAUUUUGAUCUUGUAAGAAAUUAAAUCAAAACUUUGUCCAAAUCUAUUCUUUAAGGUUAUGUCCCCGUUAUACACAUGAUUUGCCUCUGUUAUUUCUAGUAAUUGUAUGUUAAUCUUUUUCAAAGAGAUUUAUCGUUUUAGUAUAUAUAUAAAUGUAAGUAGGUGAUAGUACAAAAGCGCCCGUGGCCUAAUGGAUAAGGCGUUUGACUUCUAAUCAAACGAUUGUGGGUUCGAGUCCCACCGGGCGUGCCAAUUCUAUUUUUGUCCAUCUAUAAAUCGGCCCAUUGUUGACAGUGGUCGGCCCAAUUAUACUUCGAAUGUUAGUUAUUGUUUCCAUUGCUGAUAGAUCGACAGGACGGUUUUGUAUGGCGAUUUCGGCAAGAGGAAUGGCGAUAACUGGAAUCGAAGAUCACAGAUACUGGAAUUGGAUUGAAACAGAAGAAUGAAGGUACAAUAUUUCCGAAACUCAUUGAACUUAAGUAGAAUUAGCAAGUAGAUAUCAAAGUGUUAACACAGAAGUAGAUGAUCAAGAGCAUUGCAAUACUUGGUUUGUGAUCAUGUUAUUUGACCUGUUUUUCGUAAACUGUUGAUCUUUGGCUCUCAGUUUUGUGAAUCUUUUAGAACAAUUCUCUCUCUGGCAGAUCAAAUAAGGAUUGAAAGUUUCCAUAUGUUCCUUGUGUUAACAAAAAAAAGUAUCACACCACAAUUAUUCCGGUUCAAAGUCCAUUUUUUGCUUGUAUCUCAUACUAUAGUUAAAAACUUGUACCAUUUCAUAUCACCAGUCGAUUCAAUAUGAACAUGUAAAGUGGGUACAAAUUGUGAUUACUUAAAAAAAAUGAAAAUAGAUAGGCUUUGACAAUUGUAACUUGAAAGAAAAGGGUCUUGUUCAAACGUAAGGACCAUUCUUUAAAAGGGACCAUUUUAAUGUUAGGGUAAUUGUUAAAACGUAGUUUAAGUUGUUAUUCCAAUGUCUAUUUUCGUAUUGAAUGUUGAUUUCGUUUUCACGACGGGGAGACACGUGACAGUUUCGACUUAAAUUACCAAAAAGGUAAUAAUGGCAAAUGGAAAGUCAGGUUCUGUGACUUCUGCCUUCCACUUGUUGGCAUUUGGCAGUGCCAAAGUACAUGUCAGAAAGAUGUUAUUGUCAAAUUUGUCUGUAAAAAGAAUUCUUAUACUAGAUUUCACCAUGCUCUCUGUUUAGCAAGUACGUAAUAUACUGAAAACAUUAACCGUUGGUUUUGGUGUUUAACUAACAUGGAAUUUUGACCUAUAAAGAAGGAAACAAUUCUAGUGAGCUUCUUCUUUAUACGAAAACAUUCAGUAAAUGACACAACACGCUGCUCUCUUGAGCUUUAUUUCUCUGUAACUUUAUACUAUAUGGUCCUCGUUUUUAGAUUAUCAUAAUAUAGCUUUCUUCGUAGUACUAUUUAGUAUUUACUCACUCAAUUUAUCACUUCUACACUCUCUCUAUUCAUUGGAUUGUGACAAUAAUAGUUACGUAUCUCGAUCCCAAAGUGUUGAAUUCAAUAGAUUUUAACAGGCUUUAUACCUUCAGCUUCUAACAGAGAUGCUUCUUGAUUUAGCUUAGAACUAGCAGAUAAUAAGUAGAUCUCUUUGGCAUCUUUGAUUAUCCAUCAUGCUCCUGAUGGUUAAUUAUUCUGUUUAUAUGUAACUUUUAUUGUAGUUACAUUCUCAUUAUUGAUCCCUUCCAACAUUGAUGAUCAAAUAUAUCUUCGAUCGGGAUUCAAAAGAGCCUUUAACUAAUUACUCUUAUCUUCUAGCGUUUGUAGGAUUUUUGUUCGCUUUCAUUAACAUAUGUGAACACGAAAAGUUAAACCAAUUUUUAUGAUUAUAAUCUAUUACAAAUUUAUUUGGUUUACAUUGUUUUAUUUUAAGCAAAAUCAUAUGGGACUAGUGGCUCUUUUUCCGUUUCCCAACUUAUACGUGUUUUCGAUACCACAUGUUAUAUAAAAAAUAUAUAUAAUUAACAAUAUUUCCAAAUGCUUAUGAAAAAUUAAUAAUGAUUUAGAUACAGUUUUGUUUCUGGUAAAGAUGUAUAAACUAAUACACAAGGGAGAAAUAAAUUAUUAAAAAAAAGUCAGUUUAAAAAAAUUAGGAUCACCGGUUAAGAUUUUUUUCUUUGAAAAUCUUUUAUUUUUAUUCAAUCCAAUGACUUGAUACAGAAAAAAUAUCCCCAUCUUGAAAUCACAUCAAAAAUUGGCUGAUGUAGUUGUUACGUGCUUUGGAAAUGGAACAAAAUAUACUUAUGUCAGUCACAAUUAACGUUUAAACCGUAGAAUUUGAUUUAGAGAAACAUAACUAGUGCUAGAAACUUCAUCUUUAUCUAACCAUAUAAGCAUUUACCAUUUCUUCAAGAUAAGUUGCAUCAUUCAAUUUCUAACUAUACUUUAUCGCCGGAUCAUACCAAAAAAACACGUAGAUCGAUAUGAUGAUACUAUUUUCACUAGUGCACUGUGUGCUCCCAAAUUUUGUCAGGAUCAGAAUUGGACCCUUCUGAUCUAUCUGUUGGAGUAGCACCCUGCAGCUCCACAGUGUUAAAUAAAGAUUGUGGGGACUUUACAAAUACAUAUACAUACAAAGAGAUGAAAACUGGAGGCUAUAUUACAGAUUGAGAGUAGAAGUUUGAAUUCAUAUAUGUCAGAUUGGUUGGUUAAUUAAGGUAGAGAAAGUGAUAGACAUUUGUACAAAUGUAGAAUCUGGACCAUUCUCUCUUUUCUUUUUCACCUCUAUCUCUUACUCUUACUGUUCCUUUCUCAACUCACAUUACUUUCAUUUUAUUUUAUUCUUUUAUAUAUACUAAAAUCCACAUUAAUUGGUCACGUAUAAUACGAAAUACCUACGUUAUUACUUAUGUAAAUAUCUUACUUAUGGAAACAUACAAGGUCAUGUGAGAAUAUGAGAAUAAUAAUCAAUUUUUAACAAAAAUUUCAAACUAAAUAAUCACCAUUAACUUUUUUUAGCUCGUUUUGUAUCGUAUAAUGCAUUUGCUCAACACCGCCUAUUCUUACCCUCAUCGUUCGGAGUACUAUUUGUUACCGGUCAGACUAAUGAAACCAUUCAUUUACACAUAUAUUUAUCUUACUUGAUAGUGACCAAUUAGUUACCCGAAGUUAAAAACAGAAGCCCUAGCGUUUUCAACCACAUUUACUUAUCUAUAUAUAAUGUUCCUGCAUGUUCUAACAUAUGCAUAUAGUGAUAAAGAUACACCCAUAUCAAACACCCAAAGUUGCUCAUUUCCUUGUUUAGGUAAAAAAUAGUCUCUUGAAAGUGAUUGUUGUAAGCAGAGAUAGACAAAAGAGGUAAAAAAAAAGAAGAAGAGAAGAUGGAAUAUUGGAGCAGCUCCUUCAUCGAUGGCGCGUCUUCUUCCAGCUUCAUCUCUCCUUUCUAUAACUUUGACCAUUUUUCAGGUAACAUGCAUCCAUAGUACUAGGUUUUAGUAGAGCUAGUUUAUAUGCUUAAUGCUUAAUCAUUCACUCAACUGUAUGUCGCUUUACAAGUCUCUCUCUGUCUUGUAUUGAAUUUGUAGGAAACCAAGACAACAGAUGUUUAGGUACAAUGAUGGGUGCACAACAAGAUAUACUUCAUGUUCCUCUAGCAAUGGUAGAGAGUGGCUAUGGAGAAGAAAGCAACAGUUUUAAUGGACAGGAGAAGAAAAAAAAGAAGAUGACGAGCGAGCAGCUAAAGUUCCUCGAGAGAAGUUUCCAAGAAGAGAUAAAGCUGAAUCCGGACAGGAAGAUGAAGCUGAAUCCGGACAGGAAGAUGAAGCUGUCCAAAGAACUGGGGCUGCAGCCGAGACAGAUUGCGGUUUGGUUCCAGAACAGGAAAGCCAGGUGGAAGAACAAACAACUUGAGCAUCUCUAUGAAUCACUAAGACAAGAGUUUGAUAUUGUCUCUAGAGAAAAGGAAUUGCUACAAGAAGAGGUAAUUACUCCAGUGAUCAAUACUAACUUAAUAAAUAAGCUUUCGAGUUACAAUCCAUUGAGUUACUUUCACUUUGUUUCAACAGCUAAUACAACUGAAAUCAAUGAUAAGAGAGGAUAGUUCAUGCAAGAAGAAACAAACCUGGGAAAAAGCCUGCAGCUGAGGCAAUAGUAUAUAAGUUCCACUUCAGUUAUAUCUCCAAAAUGGCUCAAAUUUGUAGCUUUAGUCCCAAACAAGCAACAAUUUCUAUGGCUGAUUCUGUUUUCCUUUGUAUUAAGUAUUGUUUAAGUGAUUUUCGUGUAAAGGGUUCUUUACUAAGUUGAAGUUAAUGAAGAAACAUCGUGAUUCAAGAACUCUAGAUCCAUAAUCAAUGCUUAACCAAAGCUCAAUUUAGCUCAGACCACUAAUAAUGUCCUAGAAUAAGCCAAGUUGAAAAUUCUAUUUAGCAGUUUUUGGAUCUACGAGUAAAACACAAGGGGAUUGAUACCAAACAAAAAGUUUUCAUAAACUGAAUAUAUUAGAUCUGGUGCAAAACUAAAAAAUGGCUGACAAAACAAAACAAUGUCAAAACAAGAAAGAAAGAUAAGUGAAGAGAGAAGAGUGGGCUACUCUAUAGCUCCAUUCAACGUCUGCCUCCACCACCACCCAUCUUAGCAGCCUUGGGUGCAGCACUCUUGGGGAUAUUUCCCUUCACUUGUGACUUCUGUUGCUUUGAUGCAUACUCGACCUUCUUUGCCUUCUUCUCGUCCUUGGUCUUCUUGAUUCUCUCCUUGAUCUCACUGCAUAAUCAUCAGAUUAGCUUUGAAUCAAUCACAUUUCAGUUUCAAAAAAAAAUUGAUGUAUAUAGUGACUGUCUUCGGGAAAGAAACAAACCGUAGGGCAGCUUCUCUAGCGGCAUCACGAACUUCAGGCUUCUCUGCUCGCUUCUUCUGAAUAACCUCCAAAGUAGCACCGACAAUCGACCUUGAGUAAGGCUUCUUAGUUGCACGUCUCCUUCUCUUCACAGCCUCUUGUGCUGCGUCCUGUAAGAAGAGAGAAAACAAAGAUCACAACAGAAUUCAAUAGUACUAAAUCAUGAAAACAAGAAGCAACUAAAAAAAGAAACAUUACCUUCUUGUGCUGCUUUCGGUACAUAGCAGUCCAGCAAAGCUUAGAUGGCUUCAACUUGUUGUGGAAAUACCUCUUACAUUUGGAGUUGAGAAACAAAAACACCUAAUACAACCAUAAAAACCAAAGAUGAUUUAAUCAAUACAGAUACAUAGUAACAACAGAUAAGACUCUUCUUAACAAGUAGAGCACACAUUUAACCAAAAUAAAGUACCUGAGAGUCCGAUCGGAUAAAUCUGAUCCCUCUACCAGGGUAAAUUUUCUGGCCACUGAAUCGGCAAAGCUCAGUCCUACAAUACAAAGAUAAUCAAUGGUUUAGUGAUAAUCCAAAACCAACCCUGGUCACAAUCACAAACAGUCACAGGACACACAUUCAAAGCCAUCUCAUUUUACAAUGUCCUAAAAGCAGAACUAGUAAAUGGCUAAUUAGAUAUCUGCCCAAUGAGAGAAACAAUACGAUUCACAAGAGUCACAAUGAUUUGAAACAGAGACCAAACACAAUUAAUUCAAUGUACAGAAUUACAAACAAAAAUGUUGCAAAGUGAAGGGAAACAAUAAGAUCUAGUUAUUGCCGAACACAAGCCAUAUCUCGUACCAGAAAAUCACAAUUUGCAGACAUUUCUGAUCGGGAAAUAAACAGAUUUGAACCAAAAGAAGCUCAUUUUAGCAAAUUGGCAUUUUCAACAGUAGCAAUAUUCACAUGGAUCAUUAGCAACAAUGUAAACCUAUGAACAGAGAAGCAUGGAGAAGAGAGAUAUAGAGAAGAGAUUGAUUACUUGAGAACCAUGGCUCCGCCGCGCUAUUACUCUUUUCACUUGAAACCCUAAAAAAUCUGUUUUCUAGAAUUACGAAUCUAUUUAAGGCAGAUGAAUUCGCCUGAGCCCUAGUUUUGGAGGAGUUUAAUGGGCCUUUUAGCCGAAAUUAAAUGUCUUGGCCCAUGAAAGAAAUGUUUUAGUUAAAAACCCAUUACACAAAGAUUUGAUGGCCUCUAAUAAAUAAAAAAUGAUAGUUAGUACAGUCUUAAUAGGACCAAAUGUUGUUUGGCUUGGACUUCCAUAUCUCACAUGCAUCAUUUUUUGUUUGUUUCGAAUUUGACGUUUAACCACGAACAAUAUAUCACAAAACUAUACAUAAAUUCCAAGAAAAAAACUCACGGCUAAAAUGGUAUAUGGACCAAGAUGAUCCGCGAAUCAUUCCAUUGCAAUCUCUCUUAUCAUUGGUUGACAAAACUUUUGGAACCACAAUACUUAAAUGCUUAUAAAAUUUAAUCACUCAAGUGGGAAGACGAUGUUGUGGUUAGAUUUGUCUGAAGAUGUCUUUUUCUUUAGUCAACUGUCUCAAAGUUGCCUUUGUUGUUCAACAAUCUUAGCCAAGUCCAAAUCAAUUGCCCUCCUUCCUCCAAUUAGAAAGAUUACCAAAACAUGUUCUGUUUUCUUGUUGUAGUUACAUUGAAGAUGUGAAUAGAAAAAGACUUCCAUUUUUAUUUUAUCUAUCGUCUCGCAAAUAAUAAUACAACGUUUGAAUACAAGCAAAACACAAUGACAACAAUUUAGACAAACUCUAUUUCUGAAGAUGGUCAACUAUGUAUUGACCAAGAACAGAGCACAAAUGACUUGGACUGCAAGUAAAACAAUCUAAUUUUAUAACUUCUCACAAUAAUGGUGUUGGACAACCGAAAUUGUCCAGUAAAUGAAAACAAAACACUUGAAAUUUUUGUUCAGAUAGAUGGUUGAUUCAUUGACUGCUGCAGAAUCCUAAGAAUCCCAUGAAUUCAUGGUUAUGUAUCAUCUUUAUGCUCUUCUCUAUCCCAAUCACUCCCAUUGUGAGAGCACUUGCACAAAUGACUCCUGAGAGAACGAAAACGAUUAUGGAAGCUCUUCUCAGGAUCGCCACGAGCUUUCUUAUAAAGGAUUGUCCCCAAAAACCGGCAAGAAUCGAUACCGAAAUCAAGUACAUUGCUGUCAAUGAAACAAAGGUCAAUCAUCAGUUUCCUUUUUAUUCUGCUACGACUUCUAAAUGUAUCUCAUGUUGUGUGUUAGAGAUCUUACCGUAUGGUAUUGGGAAUCUCUUGAGGAGAUAGAACUCGACUACGGAUAAGGACGAAGAAAACAUCAUCACAAAGGUAGCUGUUGCGCUAGCAACCUGUGUUUUAACCGUUAGAUAAAAAUGAAAGACACAAGAUGAAUGAUUAUGGGUUUUACAAUCAUAUAUACUGAUAAGAUGGUGUGUUUACCUGUGGGAUGACUCCAAUCUCAAGAAGCAAAGGCCCGAGAACAAAUCCACCACCGGAUCCAAGGAGACCACCUACGAUACCUCCAAUGAGACCACAGAGACCACAGAAGAUUAGACUCAGAGGAGUCCACUCAAUCGUAGCUUCACAGAUACAUUCAGUGUUGCCACUGUUUAACCUCUUUUUGUUCGCUGUAUACAAUUUGCUUGCUUCAAACCCAAACACCGCUAAAGCAACUGGGAACUACAAAGGGAAAAUUGUUCCGAAUGACUUGAUUUAGCGAGAGCACAAAACAUAAUCAAAGGUUAUCUGCGACAUAUAUAUGUUACCUGUACGAUGAAUAGUAUCCAAUAUAUUGUGCUGCAGACCUUUAUUUCGUUCUGUAUAAACCCACGAGUUCCAUUGAUGAGAGCUCAACAUAAAGAUUAUUGAGAAUGCUUAGACGAAGAAGAAGAUUACUUGCCUUGACAAUUUGAAUGAGCAAGAAAGUCAACCACACAGUUACUAGAAUUAGAAGCCCUUUCCAUUUGAGGUUGGAGCGUAUUAUUUCCUGUAAGUUUUUAAAUCUUUAUGCAAGUCUGAAGAGCCAAUAAGUUAAGAAAAUCAUCUUGCAUACACUCUUACCAGCUCUGAUUUUUCUUCUCUCGGGUAAAGCGGCUCAUACUCUGUAUCGAUUAAAACUGAACAAGAGAAUCAACAAUGUGGUCAGUUUAAGAUCAAGAAACAUGACUAAAGGAAUCAAAAGUAUGAAGCUUUACACACGUUCUCCCCGGGAAUUAACCAUAUUAGCUCGUUGCUGCGCCAUUUCGUUCUGUUUAAGAAAAGCCACAUAAAACAUUCAGUAUCACACUCACACAACAUAAAAGCCACAACUUAUGAUGGAAGAUAAAACUAACCUUUAACAAUGUCUCUUCCUUCCACAUCUCAAUGCCUUUAAAAAAAGAUCUCGAAGAAGUACCGACGAAAAGAAUGAUGAUGAGGACAGUAAUGAGCCAAUAAGGGAACACAACACUGAGAGAAACACCAACAGUGAUACCGAGAAGAAGCAUUGGUUGAAAGAGAAGAGCAAGAUCAUAAUCUAAGAUUGGUACUUCUUUUGUCGGAUGACGAACUCGUACAUUGUACCAAACUGAUGAUGCUGAUGCUCCCAUUAUCAUACCUUUCACCACCAAACAACAUACCAAAUUAACUCAAGCAUUCUCUCAUGAAAGAUCUAUACAAUGAUUGAUGAAUUCAUUACAUUUUGAUAUUGCAGCUGCGGAUUUUGUAUCGAACCCGAGUAUAAGAGUGAGCAUAGGAACAAAAAUCCCACCACCUCCAACACCACCAACAGUCCCACAAGCUGAUCCUAGAAACGCUAUCACUGUAGCCAACACAAGUUUCCAGCUAAACUUCAAAUCCUACUUACACAAUUUCAUACAAAACAAACAAAAGUCAAAUUCCACUUUUAAAAGAUUCUUCCAAGCUUUUGGGUAAAAGGUGUAUUUUUAAUUAAUGUUGUUACGUAAGCAAAAUAUAUUAUAACAUAAAUCAAAUUAAAAAACAAUCAAAGACUAAUUGAAAAGGACUCAAGUUAAUGAAUAAUGACGAUGGAAUAUUCAGAAGAAGAAAGGAAGAAUCUUUUUAAUUUACCGGCCAAAUUUUUUCGGUGGCAGAGAGAGAAGAGAGAUGAUGAUGAAUAGGGUUUGUUGUGUCUCCGACGUAAGAAACAGAGAAGACGGCGACGGAGAAAGCCACGAGAAGGUAGAGGAUAAAUCCUCCGGUGCCUUUUCCAUUCCACAAUCCCAUUCUUCUAAUACAAAACCCUAAUUGGGGAAGCUUUGUUUUCUUAAAACGCCAAUAAAAAUGAAGGAAAGAUAUGAAUUUUUGGAUGUAUCUCUCUGGUGGUGAAGCAGAGAGAAACGUCUUAUAAAAGCAGAGUCGGAGAGGUGACGACGGGAGAUAGAUAGAGGAGGGAGGGAUUUAAUCAACUGUUCUCUGGUGUAUAUUAUUACGAUAUACUUUCAUUUGUCAUAAGUUUACACGUGGCAUGAUUGUUUGGGUUUGGAGAAUUCGUUUUUGAUUCUUAUUUAAAAUUCUGAGGCUGUAAUCUGGUCUUGUUCUAUAACCCAUUCCAUAAGUUAAAUGCAAAUAAAAGGAAAUACGUUUCAAAAUCAAAGUUUUUUUUUUAUUAUUUUUUUUUAUUUUUGUGUAUUAUGAAUAAGGAGGACAAACAAUCAAUUAAGAUAGAAUAAAAUUCUUUUAUAAUCAAAGUUGGAACUAAUCAUGACUAGCGAUUACAAAAACUGUUAUGUAAAUAGAAGCGUAUAGACUGUGUAAGCCAUAUAAUUGUCGUAUCAUAUACGUUGAAAAUACAAAUGGUUGGAGAAAGACAAUUUGUAUAUCAUGUUCUUUAGUCUUUACAUUUGGUAUAGUUUGACGAAAGCCUUUAUUAGUAGAGUGGUUCUACCUCUCGGCUAUCAUCCAGUCACUUUGUCUCUGGAUUCGACGUAUCCUUUGUAGAGUUCUUGUCGCGUCCCUUGCAGAGCUAAAAUAAGGGUCACAAGUGGACCAGACAACAACAAAAUGAUCUUAUAGUUCCAAUAAAACCUUGUAAGUAUAUGUCAAUUUUAUAAAAGAAAUAUCACCGUCACUAGGGACGUACCAUACAAAUUUUACUAAGCCCCACCACACAAAUUUCACAACCCCUUAGCUUUUCUAUGAAAUUUUAAUCAAAGUAGUACAAUUGCCAAAUCUUUGUUCCAAAUCACUUGUGUUUGUGAAAAUAUAAUCAAUGUUUAAAUCUAGUAAAAUAUCCCAAAUACUAAUUGAUAUAAAAAAAAAAUCUAUUAACUUCCCUGGCUUGAUAUAAACUCAUGUUGUUUUGUGAUUUCCUAACAUUAUAUAAUGCCAAAUGUUUAUAACUGAAUUAGACAUUUGAAAGUUGCAAAAAUUAAGAUGGCCGGCGUAUAUGCAAGAACAAAAGUAAACUCAUAUGUUUUGGGAUUUCAUAACGUACGUUAUUUAAUGUCAAACGUGUAAAAUUGAACUAGAACUUAGUAAGUUGCAAAACUAAUGAUGGCAUAUAGACAAGAAGCAAACAAGCCCGAUGUCAGUGAUUGGAAGGAUUUGAUCCACAAGAAUAUGCAAAAGGAGAGGCUAAUCGAACGCAUGUGGUGGUUGGUCUCGUCCAUGAACAAGACGUCCUUUAUUAUUGUUUCCAAUGCGUCUUCUUAUAUAUGUAACGCCAAUAAUAAUAUGUCCCCCAACAAAUCCGUGAUUGUAAUUCGUUGGAGCCAAAAGAAUAUCUCACAUCGACGAUAUCAAAUCACAAAAUUUACGUUAGCAUUUUUGGACUUCCAGAAAUACAACGCACCGACAACUAUUCCUGUGGACAACAAAAAAAUACACAUCAAAUAUUUUUCCUAGCACACUGCUAUACCAAAACAAGCUUGUAUAAUAUUUGGAAUUUUGGAUACCAAAAAUAAACACUCCAAAUUAUCAAAAAAAAAAAAAAGUUAAUAUAUGUUUGUUUUAUGGUCAGUUCAAACUUAUGGGAACCAUUGGUAACUGAGUUUACUCGAGUGAUUUAGCAUAGUAACCAAUCCUCUUAACUGAAGAAAGCUUUCCUAUUCCAAAACAAGAAUACAAACAUAGAAACUAUCAGAAAACGUUAUCUGCUAUAACAGACGUAUCCAAAACAAAAGGCCCAAAAAACAACAGAGAUAUUCAUCCAGAACAAAAGGCCCAAAAAACAUUGUCAUUUUUCUAGUAUUCUCACAGCUUUCCCUUAUCUUUCCGAGCAUCAUCAUCCAUCCGUCCAACGUCGUUGAAUGUUUGACCGGUCAUUUGAUCCGACGCCUUCAGUGAAGUCGCCACCUUACCCGGCUUUGAAUCCUCGACCUUGACUUCAACCACAGUCCUACCCGUCCCUCCAUGCUCACGUGCCGCGCGUGUUUCCUCCACAAUGUCUGAUGGCAUUGUCAGUUUGCUCUUUAUUGCUUCCGUUACAUUCCCUAAUGCACCAAAAAUAGUCCCUUUCGCUUCAUUUCCCCUGCAUGAUUUAAUCACAUCAAAAAACAAAACAAAGAGUUUCACAGUCACCUUUAAACUUGAAGAACAUGACAAGAUAUAACUGGCAUUUCAUCAUUUACCUCACGGCAGCAGAAUCUUUGGUCUCUUCGGCUUUUUGAGCUCCCGACUCAGUACUCUCCCUAGUCUUUUGAGAUGCCUCUUGGGCUUUUGCUCCAGCUUCUUCUUUGAGCUCUUUACCUUCCAAUCUCAUUUCCUCCAUCUUUUGUCUUGUUACUUCUCCAGCUUUCUCCAUGUUUUCCUAUGUUAUCAAAACAUCACAUUAUAUCAAACCAUUUGACAUAUGUAAUCUUCAUUUACAUGGAAACAAAGUUCCAAGAAAUUAUACCUUGGCAGUAUCUUUGGUCUCCACAGCUUUUCCUUUGGCCUCCUCUGUCUUCCCCGACAAGAAACCCAUAGCUCUCUUCGCUGUCUCAACGGCACUAUCCUUCAGCUCUCCUAGCUUACUCACCGUAACAUCUUUCCCCUCCGUCGCCUUCUCCACCGUAUAGUCCUUAUACUCUCCAGUCUUCUCAGCUGUCUUAUCCUUUGCUUCAAUAGCCUUCUCCGCUGUGUAAUCCCUAGCUUCCACGGCCUUGUCCACCGUGUAAUCCUUAUACUCACCAACCUUCUCAGCCGUCUUGUCCUUAGCCUCUUUAGCCUUAUCCGCCGUAUAAUUCGCAGUCUCCUUCGCCUUCUCCGCUGUCUUAUCUUUAGCUUCUACUGCCUUAUCCACCGCAUAGUCUUUGUACUCACCAAUCUUCUCCGCCGUCUUAUCCUUUGCUUCCACCGCCUUAUCCGCAGUAUAAUUAGCAGUCUCCUUCGCCUUCUCUGCAGUUGUGUCCUUAGCCUCUUUAGCUUUAUCAACCGUAUAGUCUUUAUACUCACCCACCUUCUCCGCAGUAUAAUCAGCGGUUUCCUUAGCUUUCUCGACGGUUGCGUCCUUUGCUCCAACCGCUUUCUCUGAAGCUAUCUGAGCUCCUUCUUUGGUAGACUCAGCCGCUUCGUGGGUUUUUCCAACUACAGCGUCUCUCGCAUGCUCAUACGUUCCUUGGACAGCCCUGAACACUGAUCCUAUCACACCGGGCCUAUCUUGCUCCGGUGGAUGUUCAGUUGUUCUCUCCGUCACCUUAUACAUUGUGACAUCAGCACCACCGGAUUUGUUAAUGUCAUGCAAGUCCUCAGCCGCUAGCCUCGCCGCAACCUCGGCUCUCUCCGCCUUUUGUUUGUCUGACGCCAUUGCUUUUUUCUCGAUUGCUUGAAAAUUGAUGAAAAACCGCUUUAGAACUUUACGAUUUUAGAAUUCUUUAACUUGUGCUAUCAGUUGAGCUGCUUUUGUUACUUCUUAUAGUAAUGCUCUGUUUCUGUUGAGACGCUACGUGGUAGAUAGAGGGACGCAACAGCUGCCACGUACAAUUUACUUAGCUUUAUCUUCUACGGACGUGGUAUGACACGUGGACUUUUCAUGCAUGGAUCAUGAUUCUUGAGUGUUCAUGGCAUGACUUAAGAGCUAAGACAUAAGCAAGCAAGCAUCGAUGGUCGGUCGUAUCAAAUCUUUUGAUAUCAUAAUUUGUGUUGGUCGAGGAAAAUGUUAGGUGAAGAUCACAUUCGCCAUUUCAAACUUACUGAGGCACAUAACUUGGAAACAAGCAAUUUAGAGAUAUGAAAGAUUACUUAGUUAUUGCCACACAGUUUAUUGGAAGUUAUUGCCUCAACAUCAAAAACUUGGAAACAAGCAUUUUAGAAAAAUAAGGACGCAAGUUAAUCAUUGGAUAGAGCCGUUUAUUGAUCAAGUCGGUUAUCAAUAUAAUUUUGAGUUUUUGACGGUUCUUGGGAGGGUAUACAAAAAAGUUCAUUGCAAUAGUUUGGAUUUAUUUCCAAAUUUUCUCUAAUUUGCCAGCUAAUUCAGGUUAGCACAUGAGUCUAUUGUCUUAACCGAAUAGACAACUCUCUUUUUUGUUAAACAUCUCUAUUAGUCACCUUAACUUUUUUUUUUUAUCAAAAAUAAAUAAAUCACGUUAAUCAUGUUCUCACAUAGAUUACUUUUAUACUUAAUUAGGUACGUCCUUUUUUUAUUAUUUCUCCGACAACUUUGUUGACGCGCAUUUGAUGCCGAAUCAUCCAAAUCGGUCACGUUUUCUACAUGAUUUGUCGUAAAUAUGAUAUACACUAACGUGAGUACCUUAAGAUCUCAAGUAUAUAGUUAAGAUCAGAUCAAAUCAGAAACACUUAGUUUGAGUUUCGAUUUGAUCAACCAUAUAACAAUAUAUGGAACUUCUAGCUAGCAUCAUGGCUUUCAUAAUGUGUAGGUACGUGUGAGUAUGAGUACACACGUACGUAUGUCGUGUAAGUGGAGAAUCCGAUGCCCAAACGAGUAAGCAAGCAAAAGCAAUGGUCAAAAAGCAACCGAUCUCAAUUAAUUAUCUUAUUGUAAAAACUCAAUAAAAAGUUAAGGGAAAAGAAUAAUCUUACAAGACAUGUAUCCUCCACAACAAAAAGAGGACUGUAUAAAACUAUUUUUUUCAUGAGACCAAUGAUUCGUAUAAACCAUUUAAAUUUGAUCAAACCCUCACAAGAUUGAUCAAUCAAUUCUCGAGUCUCUGUUUCGGUCACAUAACCGAAAGGAAACUUUUUUAGUCAGAAAGAAAGAUUUUUGGAGUUGAAAGCAACAUAAGAGAUUAAUGGAUGGUUCAGCUGGUCCAAGAGAUGGAGGAGCUAUGAAGCCGGUGAUUUUGAGAGUUUGUGUUGCUAUUGUAUUAUCAGCAACUGGUUUGAUUUUGGCUAGGUUUGUGUCUCGGAAUGAAGAUAACGAGGUAACUUCUUCUACAAGUAAUCCAGAGUCUUCUUCAUCACCUAGCAGAGAAAACGACGAGGAAGAAGAAGCAGAGAGUCCGAAUCAGCAGAAGCAAGAGAUUCUCAGCUUAAAAUCCAGAUUCGAGGAGCUUCAAAGGAAGGAAUACGAGAUGGAGUUGCAUUUCGAGCGGUUUUGUAACUUGAAAGAUCAAGAAGUCAUGCUUAUUGAGCAUAAAAGCAUAUUGAGUCUUGAGAAAGCUCAAUUAGAUUUCUUCCGUAAAGAAGUUUUAGCGAUGGAGGAAGAACACAAGAGGGGUCAAGCUUUGGUGAUUGUGUAUCUCAAACUUGUGGGAGAAAUCCAAGAGUUGAGAUCAGAGAAUGGGUUGCUUGAGGGGAAAGCAAAGAAGCUUAGAAGAAAAUCAAAGCAGUUAUACCGUGUUGUCAACGAGAGCAGGAAGAUUAUUGGCGUGGAAAAAGAGUUCUUGAAGUGUGUUGAUGAAUUGGAGACGAAGAAUAACAUUGUGAAGGAACUUGAAGGUAAAGUCAAAGACAUGGAAGCUUACGUUGAUGUGUUGCAAGAGGAAAAGGAAGAAUUAUUCAUGAAGUCGUCAAAUUCAACAUCAGAGGUUAGUAUUGAAUAAUGAGAUUCUAGAUUUAAUGAUUCAGUUUCUUUUAUGUUGAUUGCCAUUUUUUUGUUUUGAGAAGAUGGUGAGUGUAGAAGAUUAUAGAAGGAUAGUAGAAGAGUACGAGGAAUUAAAGAAGGAUUAUGCGAAUGGAGUGAAGGAAGUGAUUAACCUGAGAUGGAGCAAUGCUUGUUUGAGACACGAGGUGAUGAGAAAUGGAACCAACUUUGGGGAAAUCGUGUUUUCUCCAAAUGGAAACUUGCAUGAGCUGGGUUUGGAGGAUGAUCAAGUGGAUAAUGCUCUGGCAUUGAUGAGAGUAGCUAAUGAGCAACAUGAAGAGAAUCAUCAUCAGCAUGAAUCUUCGAGGAGGAAGAGAUUGAUGAAGAAGUUGAAGAAAUGGGUUGAAGGAAAUGAGAAAGGAAAAUCAAAAGCAGAAGAAGCAGAAGAAGCGGAAGGCACUAUUUGACAGUGGAACCUGAAGAAGAACGAACAUUUCAUUCAAGAAGGUCUUGUUCUAGUGUGUAAUAGCAUUGCUUUACAAAAGAAGCAUGUUCAUGAAUUAUUCAUCAUUUCUCCACAACUAACAUAGUCAUUGAAAUCAUUUCUGAAACUGUAUUUCACACGAAAAUAAAACCAAACUAGAAUAGCAAUCCAAGAACUGAAACCAAAAAAAGAAAAAGAGAAUCCCACAAGAGUUUAUGUUGCAAGUAGCAACCGAGGUAACUAGUUUGUUUUCCACUUUGUUCUUCACUUAAUCGAAACGCCAGCAAUGCCAGACGCCAAGUAAUCAGAACGAUGAGUGUUUGGAGCGGUCAGAUUUGUCUUGGAUGAUUUCAGAACUUCAAACGCUUCAUCAACUCUAACAGCCAAGUCUUCUGGUGAUUUCAGCAAAAGAAGCAAUUCCGACUUGUCCAUUUCCAGAAGCAUCCCUGUGAUUUUGUUUGCAAGCUGGGGCUGCAAAAGAAUGAUAAGUACAGUCACUGAAUAUGAAUAUAGUGUUAAUCAACAUUACCAAUCGUAUGUGACUAUUUACAUAAUGAUCAGAUUCAAGAACACCAACCUCCAGUUUCUCGACAAGAGGGUGUAGCAACUCUCCGAGCAAUUGCAUCUCCAUCCCAACUGUUUCAGACUGUCUCUGUUGGAUUGAUUUCUUCAUUUCUUUCCCACGACCAUAGGUUCUGCUAUGCUGCAUAUGCUUUACAAAAGUUAUAAUUUGAACCUCUUACGCAAGGUAUAUGGUAAUAAGUAAACCAAAUUACCUGCUGCUUCGAAAAAUCUCUUGACAAAGGAAGCAUUUGAGUAGACUGAUACACAUUUGGCACAUACGAAACAGCAUUCCUAUCCAACUUUCCUAUUCUGUUCUGCCUAUUCUUACUUGGCGCAUUAGCAACCUACCAGAUAUCUUUGUGUCAAACAUUAUCAUUAUGAAUAUUCUUUCGAUAUAUAGUAAUUCUAAGAAUAUAUACCAUUGGGGGAUAUGUGACUGCUUCAGAGUUUGGGUAUGAUGAACCAAUCAUGUUAGCAGACUUCCACAUCAGCGGGUAUGAUUGAUAUACCAUCCCGGGAUGAGUGUUUGUGUAGUAAAGUGGAGCGUAUGUCCCUGGAUUGACAGAAGCUGAAGAGCUGCUUUUUCUAGCUUCCACACGGUUCCCAAAUUGAACCUGUAACUGCAUCUUUCUGUCCUCUUUCUUUUGAGCAAUAGCCACAUAUAGUGGUUUCCCGUGAAACAUUUGCCCUACGAAGCAUGAAAGAAAAUAAUCAUAUGAUAAGAUGAACCAAGAGCUAUGUCAUAAUUCCAUUUAUAUACCAACAAAUUAUGAUCAUGCGGCUUACCAUGAAAGGUUUUCACAGCAUCAAUAGCUUCUUCAGGUGUUGAGAAGCACACAAAUCCAAACCCCUUGCUUUUUCCUUUCUCAUCACACAUCAGCUUUGUCGAAGUGAUUGUGCCACAUUGACUGAAGUGUUUUCUCAGCUCCUCCUCAGUAACAGCAACAUUGACGUUUUUCACAUAUAUGUUUGACACCUUCAAUUCAGAAAGAAAAACAGUCAACCAUCAGAAUAAUAUCAUAUCAAAGUAUCAAACUAACAAAGGUUUUCAUAAUACCUUGGCUAUCAUCUUCUGUUCUUCAUGUUUCUCUUUAAAUUGUUCCCUUAGCAGUUGCUCCCGUUCUGCUUUCUUUUGCGCCCUUCCUACAUAUAGACACUUCGAACCUAUCAAGCAGAAACAAAGGGUUAAAUAACUUGGGGAAGACUUAAGUGAAUAUUAUUGUCCGAGGAAAGAAACAGAUCCGUCAGACCAAAUUUUGUUCCAUUCACUGUUUCAGCUGCCCGUCUUGCAUCCUCUGGGUUGUCAAAGUUGACAAAUGCAUAUCCUCUACAUAAUCGGUUCUCAUCUUUUGCAAUUGCUAGGCUAACAAUUUUCCCAAACUCUGCAAACUUUUCCCUUAAAAGAUCCUCACUGACAUCUGCAUCGAGAUUCUUCAUGUACAAGUUCGUGUACUUUUCCUCAGGUUUCACUCGAUCAGUCUUUUUCAUGAAUUUUCCAACAUAGCUGCAUAAAAAAAUUCCAGAGAUUCAGAUUUGGAAACCAUUGGUAGAACAUAAUGGUAGAAGCAGAUAUCUCAUCCAAAGACACAAAUCGUGGAACAAGUAAGUAGGAAAGCCUUACAUCUCCUUGUCAGCAACAAUGGUACUAUUCAAGGUCUGAAUAGCAGCAUGUGCAGCGUCUUCUUGCUCAAAUUGAACAAAACCAUAUCCCCGACUCUUUCCAUCUUCAAGAGUUGCAACCUUACAGGAAACAAUGUUCCCAAAUUUCUUGAACAUAUCUUGCAGAACCGCAUUGGUGACUGACUCAGGCAAAUUCUAGCCAAAUAAAAACAAUAACAUUAACAACAGACAUUGAGAAUAUCAUCCAUCUCUUUGGGUUAAGAGUACUACCUUAACAAAGACAUUUCCAACCCCAUUUCUCCUAGCAUCAGGUGCUCGAACAGACCACAUUACUCGAAUCAUUUUUCCAUUCAACAAACUGUUAUUUUUUUUCUCAAUGGCAAGGUUAGCUGCAAAGUUGAAGUAAAAGAUACUAUCAAACAAACUGUCACUAACAUCUUUAAACAUCAACAACAGGAUUCUUUAAACUAAAUAGCUCUAAUCAAACGUAAAUCUCAGUGAAAAUAUCAGAAAUCAAAGGCAUAAUCAGUUUACAACAAACAUCAAAAUAAGAUUCGUCUCCCUUUCACAACAAAUCAAAGAGAAAAUCAGUGAAAGAGAAGAGAGUGACAUUUUCCCGGGAAAAUCGGCCAAAUAAACACAGAUUCUUCACCGAUUAUCAAUCCAAGUGUGCAAUAAGCGAAGCAUGAUACGAAAACGAAGAUAAUCAACGAAAUUCCUCACAAUAACCUAAAAUCCAAACGAAAUCGAAGGUAUGGAAGAAGAGUAUACCGUCUUGACGCGAGAGAAAGUUAGCGUAGCCAUAACAGAGAGAGCGACCAGACGAAGCGUCUUUACAGAGACGAACAGAAGUUAAGCUCUUGAACUCGGCGAACGCGUCGUAGAGUAUACCUUCGGUGACGGAAGGGUGUAAGUCUCCGACAUAUAACGACGCCGUCACUGGAGAACUCGAUCCCGAAGAAGAAGCAUCCGCCGCAUGUAAUGCAGCAUGAACAGUCGCCAUUUUUGCUCUGAUACCUCAAAGGAAACACAAACGCACUAAACGACGAAAGAAAGAAAGAGAGAGAGGGAGAGAAAAAAAGAAAGAAGAUGAUGACAAGAAUCGCGAAACAAGGCCGUUACGUUAGUCCUCUCCUGAGCUUUAUAUUAUUCCGUUCAGUAGCGUUUUUGUUCUGGUGGCGUUUCGUCGCGACUCGUGCCGUUUCCUUUACAUGAUUUUGUUUUGGGGGACAUUUUUGUAAAAGCAAAAUCUGAAAUUUUGUUACAUUUCGGAGUAAGACAGUAUUACCCUUAUAUGCUACUAUUAAAUUCACGCCCAUUUUAGUUUCAUAAAACGUGUUAUAGAGAAUUAUCUAUUUUAAGUAAAGUUUUGGAUAGAUUCUUAAUUGUAAUGCUAAAAUGAUUUGCUUUGGUAAUUGUCGUUUCAUCAUUCAUGCCUGCAAUAUUAUAGUUAUAGGCCACAAGUAACCAUAUUCCUUCACAAUGAGACUGAUCUACAGUUAAAAGGCACUACUACUACACUACUCUAAAACAAACCCACAUAAUCUAUCAAUUUACGUCAAGGAGAAGAAGAUACAAAGAAGUAAACCAAAUAAGAUGCUAAAGAAUAAUCGUAUGAGUAUGUCUCUUGUUGAGAUGUUCAAACAUGGCUGCCCUGAGUUUACAAUAUCCUUUCCUGAAGUUAUCGAUACAUUCACAGACAUUGAACCUGUCAAAACAAUGCACAAGUUUAUUUCAGAUGAAGAUAACCGACUACUAGAGUUUCCUAUAUGACAUGACUCUAUGAUUACACUUACAAUCAUAGCUUGCCCAUCCAAUCCGUUGUCGAGCAAGAUCAUAUACAAAGACUUUAUCUUUAAGCACAAGAUCUGCAAAAUAAAACAGGACAGAUAAAUAAACACUGUUGAAACAAGAAGAGGCGGUAAUCAGCAGUUUUUGAAGCUCAAUGUCUGACCUCCUAAAAUGGUUUGUUCUUCCGGAGCUUUCUGAAAACCAAUGCACCACAUGGACGCACCAUCCUGUUAAGAUAGGAGAGGUCAAGUAAGAAGAAUACAUAUAAAAGCAGACUACUUUAAUUCUAAUAGUUUUAUGUACAUAUAACAAGCAGAAGAACUUACAUAGAUACCGUAAUGAAAUAAGUAGUCCUGAGGUCUUAACAUCAUUGAUGCACCACCAGCAAAGUUGAGACUAACUGAAGGAAACAUGUCACUUAUGCUGCACAAGCACACAUAACCAUCACAACUCUAAUCUUAACUUUGAUCUAGAGAGAAAAAGGAUUUGAACAAUGCAGUUAUAUAUGAGGAGGCAUACCUAGUCGAGACCAAAUAGCACUGCUCUCCAUUAGAAAUUAUUGGUGUUACCAACUGUGACACGCUGUUUGAUAUCUGCAUAUAGGAAACAAAAACCAUCAUGAUGUGAAAGUCACAACCUCAUGCAAAACACACAAGAUAUACAAAACUUACAGCAUUGAGAAAAAGAUCAUAAGCCUCUUUCACCAGAUAUGUCAAAGUGGUUCCUGUGUCAACAAUAGUUCCACGGGUAUUUGAUGCUUCAAACACCGCUGCAUCGAGUGGCAGCAUCUGUCCAUUCACGCCAAUGCUCAGCAGAUUUAAGUUAUAGUGAGGUCUGUAGUACGUAAUCAAAAGAUAAACAGAUUCAUCAGUAUCGCAUGCCACUCAACAAUUUUAUAGAACCAGUUAGAGGCUUAGAGCAGUAAAAGAUUGACUCAAUCGGGAGGCAAUAAAUUGUUAUGAAUGAAACUGGUUAACUCCUGUAUUCAAUUUACUAAAGAACUACACAAUACAGAGAAUCUUUGGUUCCUGGCCCAAGUCCCUAUCUCAAAUCCUAGUAAACAUCAGAAUGCCCCAGCUGGUUCUGCCAACUUUCUAUUUAACCUGUUAGCUCUCUAGUUAAUCAACUCAACGAUUGUUACUUAGCUGACAACACAGCUACAAUCAACUACAAACCACCUCCGCUACAUAUAAUGCUUAUGCAUUAGACUAAAACAAAGACUUAUCACAGUUUCAGGUUGUGCCAGUAUAAUACAGUUAAAGAAACAAUCUAAGAGUGAAAAAUUAAAAAGAAGGAUUAGUGAGCUUACUGUGAUGGAACGAGAGGACUGUAAACCAUUCCUGGGACCAAUAUCUCGCCAAGGACAAAGACACCACCUCCACUACCAUCUCCUUUCAAGCAAUGAGAAAACACUGGCGGCGUAAUCCCUCGUGAUGACAACUGAGAGACAACUGACAACUUUCCCUUGCCGAAACCAAAGAUUCCAUCCACUGCUUUGUCUGACUUUGUCAAGUCCCCAGAUUGGUAGGUACUACAGCUGUUGCAAAUAGAAGAAAAUUAUGUACAAAGUUUAAGAUCUUUAAUAUGCCAUAUACUCUACAUGCAAAAACAUGGCUAGUGUUUGAGUAGAAAAAGUUCUCACCCGAAAACAAUGGGAGCAGAUGAGUUUGCAACCAAAGACUCUCCCAAAAUCGCAUCAAAAUAGAAGGUGUCAGUCAUGUAGUAACCUGAAGUCCCACUUCCAUCGCCAUAGCGAAAGGAGUAACCACACUGGUUAUUCUCAGAACAUUGUGCAGCUGUCGUCUGAAAAACUGAAGAACAAAUCGGAUCUGAACAAGUAACAGAGCCAGCAGUCAAGGAACCAGGAGCAUCAAAGAAAUGAAGGUCGAUCUGAAAUGAAUUUGAAAUAGACAAAGGAUAAGCCUUUUACACUUGUCUGUGCUAAUCCCAUUAUUUCAGUAAAAAAACUUAGACAAAGCUACUUACUCCAAGUCCACUAGAGUGAGGGCAAUUACUGCAAGAACUACAAGUAACCCACAAGAUGUCACUUCCAGUAUCAAUCUGAACAUUGAACUCUGUAGGAGGAGAACCUAAUUUGACCUUUGUGAAAUAAAGCCUACCAAGAAACAAAAUACAGCUACAUAUCACAAAAGAGAAGAUAAUAAAUUCCAUUAGAACUCCAAUAACAGAGUGUGUGUGCAAAUGUGACAUACAUAGUCAUCUUGGAGCUGCAACACAAAGAAAAAGAAAGGAGACAAACUCAAUAAGAUCUCCGUAUAGAUAUCAUUUCAAAAUCUACUCUUUUUUUUCCAAUUCAAAACCUUCUAAUAAAGCAUAAGGCAAAAUAAAAGCCAAAGGAUAAAGGAACAAAAAAGGAAAGAUAAUAAAAACUUUGAAACCCUAAAUCUUUCAGUUUCAUCACAGAAUUUAAUGAAAACGAUCUUAACUCAAUCCAAUUAUGGAAACAAAGGAAAGAAACUUCUGAUUUCAGCUUAAAACUAAAAAAAGAAACAUUCCAAGAUGAAAUUUUUUAUUACCCGACGAGGUAAGGAUCGGAAGAGCCUUGAACUGGGAAGUCGACGACGCCGCCAACAGAGCUCUGACGACCACCGCCGAGUAAGAUUCGCGCGUGUCUGACACGAUCACGCGCUCUAAGUUCACUCAGCUCCACUAGCUCGUCUAGAGGAAAAGCCCUUUGUAAAGGAAGAAUCUUGGUCGGACCAGCUGCGUAUUUCGCAUAGGCCGAAGGUAACGGCGAUGCUGCAAAACCAGUCACGGCCAAAGCCACUGCUAGAGCCGCCGCCAACAUUAGGGAACGAAGGGUACGCAUUCAAGCAGCUCGUGGAGAUUAUGGUUAUAUUCCCGAUGAAGACACACGUUCCAGAGAGCGACACAAAUGCUCGAUUCUUCGCAUCGAGCAGAGAGAGAGACAGAAAGAACUGUCAGAGAGAGAGAGAGAGAGAGAGACGUUCUCAAAUGUUUUAGCGGAGAUAGUGGGGACUAAUGAAAUUUAUAUAUUCCAAAAUUAUUGAUUUCGGUUUAGUUUGGUUUGGUUCGGUUUAGUUUCGAUUUUAUGUUCAAAUCUAGUUGUUUACUAUUUUAAAUUAACGAUUGGUAUAUUGAUUCCUCUAUCUGCUUUCUCUGUUUUACUAAAUUUCCUCAAUUAUAGAUGCAGAAGAUUAUGAAAUGAUAAAAUUGAGCAUGCAAACCGGGAAAUUUUCUUAAACAAGGGAUCAACCAAAUUGUAUAUUUCCGCUAUUAUUUAUUGUGAGAACUCAAAGUUUCUUAUACGCAAAUCUUUAGACAAAUUUUCUGAGCAGUUUUUAGGGUCAGUGAGGCUUAAUAUUAUUAGUCACCACUCGUAAGACCACCUUCGAAUUAACUACAAAAUUAUAUGAAUGAGUAAGUUAAGAUAUGGUUUACUUAUAUUAUUUAAAAUUGACUUGUAGGUGAGUCGUGCUAGUCUUCAUGAUCCAUAAGGACACGUCAAAGAAUGAAUGAGGCUUUGGUAAAUUGUGGUGUGAGUUUCCUAAACAAAGACAAAAAUUGGACACAUUCCACGUCAUCUGAACAUAAUUGUGCAUUUCCACACCCAAACCAGGACGAACCAAUAACAAAAGAUUCAAAAUCAGAAAGAACUAUAGAAGAUUCAGAUUCAUAGAGCAUAACAUGAUUAUGUAAUACAAUGAUAUAUAUUGAUCUCGUAUAUAGAUCUCGACUUUUAACCAGUUUUGUUUACUUACACAUCGAAUUAAGGUCGGAAGCAAAAAAAACAAAACGUGUAAGUUUGUUUUCAGCCAAUAGAUGAAGUUUUAGCAGCGAGAUGAAUCAAAGCCCGUCGAUGAUACUUGCUUCUUAGCUUUUUGUAUUUCUGCACAAAUGCAGCUGUGUCAAUAUCCUUCUCCAUAAACUUCUGUUGCAGCUCCUCUGAUUCUUCAUCCACCUGGUUCAUAGCAUCUGCGAUAAACAAACCCGGGAUUGUGUAUUAGAAACCGACAUGUAUCAUUUUGUUGUUACACAUGAAGGAUAUUGAGUGAAGCAGCUAAUGGUUUUACUUACCUUGAAGUCUAUGAAGAAGAGAACCUGGAGAGUAGAAUUUGAGGAUCUCUUCUCUUUGAUUCUCAAGCUCAUUGAGCUUCUCUUGAGCAGUCGCAAGCUCGGAUGUACGGAUUAUUCUGCACUGUUUUUAAAAAGAUUAUACAAAUGGAGAGAAGUUUCAUAUACUUAAUUAACUCACUCAGAGAUUGAAUGAUAUUAUUCACUUGGUUUCUGAGCUCCACUAUCUGUGGUUCCUUCUCCAAGUUUUCUCCUGUUAUAUUAGCAUGAAUGUUUUAGAUCUCGCAAUAUGAAUAUAAUUGUCAUCGUCAAAAAAAGUCAUACAAGAACUCACUAGCUAGAUGUAACGUUUCUUUGCGAAGCUCUUCUCUGAUCUAAUGAACAUAUAAAGAAAAAGCACAAAACUGAAUCAUCUCAAAAACGUAAAUAAUGAAGAAGCUACAUUUCUUAAGACAAUAGAUGAUUUUUACAUCAUGUUUCCCACUUACAUUGUUUUGAAUAGUGACCUGGUCAAGCGAGUGCAGAAACUGUUGAUACGCAUCCUUGUCAGAGAGAAGCUUCCUAAGCUCAUCCACACUAAGAGCAAAACAUUUGAAGAACAUCAUAAAUGAGUAAUAAGAGUAAGCAUACAAGAUAACAUACCGACAAGUACAGAAAUCAAUUCCCUUUAUAUAUCUCUGCAAAUUAGUAACACAACGCAAAAUCACAAGAGACUAUCAGCAACCAAACUAUCAAAACCACAGAACCAGUAAAUCUAGUGUUUGGUCUAGCGUUAAUCUAAACUAUUCCAAGCCUAAAAGACCAUAAAUUCAUAUUAAAGAUGACAAGAAAUGUGUGACUGUGUGACACAAGAAAACUGUUAUACAUCAUGUACAAAAGAGGCAAACAAGAAGGUAUAAGGAAAUUGAAGACUAACCUUUUGUCUUUUAAAAUGGCAAUAAUGCCGGCGGCUUCACCUGGUGAAACAUGUGAUGGAAUCUGCCCUGAGGUUUGAGGCCGGGAUGAGCUAGGAGAGGUGACAAGAGACGGCGAAUACCACGGUGUUGCAGAAGCUUCUGGAGAAGGACGAGAUUGUCCUUGUUGCUGUUCUUUUGAUCCCCUGGAUUUUUAACACAACAAUCUUAAAAAUACUUACCUGAAACUGUUCCAAUACCCAAUAUACUAACAUUGCAAAAUCUUAAGACCCAGCACAACUUCAUGAGCAUAGAUCAGGUUCUUUUAAUGAUUACAACUAAAAUUUUUGUUCACCUUAACUAUGUUAGCAGCAACUAACUAUAAGAGCCAUCAAUGGUAUGCAUAAAACAGUAAGUAACUAACAAAAAGCAGAGUUCUUUAAUCCCAAACACAUAGAAAUUGAAAUUCUCCAAAACGAUCAUAAUCAAAAUUAGAUAACAGCAUAAUCGAGCUGAGGUAAAAGAGGGUAACAAAAUCGCAUAAUCACAAAAAUCAGAUUCAUGAAGUUGAUGUUACCAGAAAUUGAACAUGGUUCGUAGAAUCCACCGAUCAGCCAAAGUGAUGCGAUUUCGAAAAGAAGAAGCUUGCUAAUCAGAAGAGCCAAUCACUGUUGUUAUUCAGCAGAUGAAAUGAUCGAGGAAUCGGCAAAUUGUCUCAAAAUCGUGUUUUUUUUUUCUUUUUGUCAACGACUUUUCUUCUUCGUUUGUUAUCUUGCUAAGUUAUACCGUUAAUGGGCCUUUAUUAUUGACCCAUAACGGGUGGUCGGGCCGUCAGCCUAAUCUAUCGUCGUAAAUUUACUUCCUUUUUUUUUUUUUGGGCAACUCGUCGUAAAUUUACAUGCUUUGCAUAAAUGACUGAAAUGAGCAAUAACAUAACUUUUUUUUUUUGUCAAAUAUAUAACACUAGAUAAGGCCCGCCUAAAUAGGCGGGCGUAAGAUGUAACUGUAAUUUUUUAUCGAUAAUAUUUAAAUUUUGAAUAGUAAAAUAAUAAUCUAUACAUUGUUCUUGAUAUAUAAUUUUGAAUAGUAAAAUAGUAGUUUUAUGCAUUUUAUUUUAUUAUACUCAUUCAAUCUUAUUGAUGAUAUUUGAAGUCUAAAUAGUAACCUACACACUUUUUCUUUAUUAUAAUUUAGUAUUUAUAUAGAAGAAAAGAACAAAUUUUUAUCUUACAUAUUCAAUUUUGUAAUACAAUUUAAUUAUCUAUUUCAUAAAAAACUCGAUUUUAAUUCUACACACUUCAUCUUACUUGAUAAUGAUUUCAUGUCAAAAUAAUAUAUAUAUGAGAUCAAAUCUAUAUCUUAGUUAAUAUUAAAAAUUAUUAACAAUUAACAAAACAUAAUUAAUAAUAAUAAAAAAUUUGUUAAUACCAUACAUAUUAAAAAUUUGACCAAUAACAUAUAUAAAUAUUUUUGGUUAAUUUUCCUUUUGGUUAAGAAAAAUAAAAUGUAAUAUUUUUUAGAUAUAGACAUAUGAAUUAGUAUAUGUUAAUAAUGAUUUAUUUUUUAGUUUUCUAUUUCUUUAAGAAGAAAAAAGUUAAUUGAUUUCUUUUUUAGUAUUUCUAUUUCUUUAAGAAGAAAAAAGUUAAUUAUUUUCUUACACGUGUCAACAUCUGAUCGAUAGACUUGACACAUGGCAUAAUCCUAUGAGUUAGUAAUUUUAAAAACCAUACUUUAUAUAAUAAGAUUUUUGGGGAAUAGUAUGUUUGAAGUUUUUGCUCAAAAAAAAAAAAAAAAGUAUGUUUAAAAUUAUGUAAAAUCAUUUGAAAAAUAUAAUUUAGUAGAAAACUUUUAUUCACGUGUUUGCUAGCUUGGACUUUAUGUGUUUCCCUAUCAAAUGAUCUAUUGUUGUUGAUUGACAUACUAGUUGAAUUUCGAAAUUGUAUUUUAUACAUAAUACAUCUUUGUAGUCUUAAAUAUUAUAUGUAUAUUAAAGUGGACUUUCGAGGUGUUUUGUCAAGGCUAGCCAUUUUUCUUAGUACUUGAAAGGUCUAAAUUCAAUUCGCAAAAGACCAGCAGAGGUUUCCAUAGAAUUAAAUUCAAUCCAUUUGAUUUUUUUGCCCCCGUUUGAGAACAAACAUUACAAUGGCUUUCUUAUUCUCCCCCAAGAAAAAAAUUGGCAAUGGGAGAUAUAAGUGACAUUUUUGUUUUAGCUCGACUUGAUUGACUUCUUUAAAAAUCAAAAUCAAAUAAAGCUCAAGCCAGCGUAGCUUGUCCGUUUUAAUUACAAAAGUUUAGUCUAUUUAUGUGAGCCCAAUUUUCACGUUCUUUAAACAUGUACAUCUACGGUGAUCUACCCAUUAUUUCUUCCAUUCUUCCAAAAAAAAUGUGUGUUUUUGUUGAAAUGAUUUGCGGUACUUUUUUACAUGGGACAGAAAACAGAAAAUGAAACUAUGUUAAUACUUAAUACUAUUUAUGCGGAAAACACAUUGUGAAUCGUUUAACUUAUUCCUUUCGAUUAGUUUAGACUUUAGAUCUCUUGUCUUGACACCAUAUGUAACAACUGUGCUCGGAGAUUUUUGUGCUGGGGGUGUCGUUUUUUCACUUCUCUUAUUCCUAACUGUGGAAAAAGUAGUGAGAACAAAAAAAAAUAGUAUGAUUUUUUCAAACGUUGUAAACAAAUAUAAAUAUAUAGAAAUGUUGGACAAUAAUCAUCAAAUAUAAAAAAAACUAGUGGUUACUGGUUAGAAUUGAGCAAUAAUUCAAAGAUCAUGCAUGCAUUUGUUAUAUUAUGUGAUGUCUCACAUUAAAUGCAAAUGCGAAUUUGAAAAAGAAAUGAAUGAUUAGUUGAUCUGGUUUUAAUUGAUCGUUGACCAGAAGUACAUCUGAAAGUACUGUUUCCGUUUACGGACAUGGCCAGACCUUUAAAAGCCCCCAUUGAAUCAGGAGACCUUGUCGGCUUUUAACGGUCAAUUCUUUGACUUCUAGAGAUACACGGCGUCGUUUUUGGAUUCUAGAUACAAACACGGCCAUGCCGGUCAGCUUUAAGAUUGGAAACAUUAACACCGCGUAGUUUUAUUUGAUUGGGUAGAAACACCGCGUAAUUUAAUGAUGACUAAGUCUUGCUUAACAUACAUAAUUCCACAUUCGAACACUAUCAAUGAAUGUUUCGGGAUAUGAGCUAUGAUACUAGGGACACUAAAAUAUGAUAGAAAUUAGAAAAUGAUGGAACGUAAUGAUAUAACAAUUAAUGUUCAGAUACUGGUAAAAUUUACAACAGAUAUCCAUGUUUGGUUAAACAGUGAUUUAGUAAUAAUCAAAUGAUCUGUUGACAAUCACCAUCUAUAUAUUAUUCGCUUAAUAAUUUUUGUAUAAUCAAAUUUAUUGCCACCUAGCAAUUUGACAACUACCAAACAUUUUACUAAAUCGUUUUUGUUUGAAUGCUCGUGAUGAUAACAUAAAUUUAGAAUGUGUUAUUUUGGUUUUUUGAUUUGGUUUUUUCUUUUCUAACCUAAGACAAGUUCCCAUAAUGCACAGAUAAAACUGCACAUGACAUAUCGUUUUUUCUUUCUGGCCAACAGCACAUAACAUGAUCAUGUUGAAGAAGACAACUAAGAAAAUAUAUGCUAUCAAAAGCGGUGAAGCACAAACACAAACACAAAUCUUCCCCAUUCUUGUAUAAAAUGCACAUAUUUUAUAUAUGGGUUUAGUUUUUUAUUUUACUAAAUGUGAGUCUAAUUAGUUUCAAAACCCAUGAUGUAUUUAAAACUGAGAAAAUCUCAUGUCGAAAUCCAAACUAAUUUAUGGAACUAAUAGAAAUCUGGUUAUUUAUGGUUUUGUUUUGCCAUUGAAAAUGUCUACGAGUAGUCAAGCUGGGAGGUGCAAGAUGUUUCUUGAGAAAUCUUAGGGAAAUGGACCCAUAACAAAAUUCACAAGAAAUUUGCACACCUCAAACAGAAGUCACUAGUUCACUACAUUGUAGUUUAGAAACCCGUACGUGACUUUUGCUGGUUUAGACAUUUGAUUAAAAUUACAAACACAACAAUCGAUCCAAGUUGAAUGAAAUCCAUGAAAUUAUUUGCAACUUUUCACUAUAUAAUAUAACUUAAAUAUUCCUUCAAGGAACUUUCAGUAUCUUUACGUUAAAUUUUUAAAUUUGAGAGAUAAGUAUCAUUUAUCUAAAAUCUCACAAGCAGAAAUAGUUGAAAGCAAAGUUUAAGACAUGAAAUUGGUUAGUUUCGUGGCUAGUCACUUUUUAAAAAUAGUUCACGUAUCGUUACGGUUGCAACUAUGCGUCAGCAAUAUGUCUAGCUCUUCUAAGUUUUAUAUUAAUUGACUUUAUAUACAAUAAUUAAAAACUCUUCGAUAAUAACUUUGACUUAGGCAACUGUUAUUAGAUAGAACUUGGAAAGGUCCAUUUUUCUCUUUAAUUGGAGAAGAUGCUAAGGUAUAAUGUGCAUUAAUUAAUAUAAUCCCUGAGACCUACUUUUUCAUUAACUUCACAUAUAAAACCAUAUACUAACUAAUACAAUUACGUGAAAUAUAUACCUUAUCAACGACGUCUUUCACGAUUGUAGAAGAUGUAGUUAAAUCGUUCCUAAUUGACACCUAACGUCUUUAAAUCAUCUAAUUUAUGACGGAGUAACUAGUAGCGAAUGAACGACAAUAUGACAAUUCAUCGCUAAAAUGUUGUUGUUUAUUCACUAAACAGAUAAUCUCUUUUUUCUUGUUUUAAAGAAAAGUAAUCGUGUAUUCGCCUACAUUUAAACACUGAUUAAUUUCUAGCACAUUUAAUAAUUUAAUUUAUUUUGAACAAUAAUAGUUAACUUCUUUCCAACAGAUAAACCUAUUUUUUUCUCACAAUACGUAUAUAGCUAUUCUUUAAAUCGGAAUAUCUAGAAACGGAUUUCGGUAUUAUAAAAGAUAUGGACCAACCAAAUGUCUAAAAGUUUUGUAGAUUUAAGAAAAAACAAAUAACGAGCUUGUAUUGAAUGCGAAGGAAAAUACAAAAGGUAUAAAGAAAUAGAGAGUCUGACGUGGCCUAGAAAACCAAUGCAACGAAUGGAGAGGAAAAAGACGAAAUGCAUGCAGAUUCUAUAUUAGUAUACGGAGUAUUUUUCAAUAUAACUCUCCUCCUAUUAUUAUAUUGAAUUUUGUCUCUGACUUCGAUGCCCGGUCGUCCCCUAGGAGCUACUUGUUUUGUUGCAGUUUUUAUUUUUGUUUUUGCCAAAUCACGUAAAAGUUUAAUAAAAACUCUCCUACUUUCUGGACUCCAACACUUAUCUUGUGUUUAGGACUCUCAUUGCCAGUCACUAGAUCAAAUUCGUAAGAUUUGUUCAUCAACACAACUGUUUACAUUUAUCUUCAGUUUCACGCGCAUAAAAAAAAAACAAUGACCUGUCAAGCUAAAAUCUAUUUAAAAAAAAAAACAAUAUACAAAAUAGAUUUUGCUGAUACUAAAAUUCAUAAGUCAUAACACCUUAGAUUUGAAAAUUCAAAUGGUAGAAAAGGCGACAUCACAGCAAAAUCUGAAAAUCAACCCUAAUUAUGGACUACAAAGCAAAUAGACUUUAUAGAGGUAUGUUUGAGACCUUCUCUAACGACUUUUACGAAAUCUACAAUUCCUUUCCGACUCUAUAUAUAAACCGAUAAUUGAAUGGAGAUUGAACUAUUGAAGCAUGGUGCGCACUAAACAGUCAUUAAAUUGGUCGACAUUUAUGAAUACAUGUGAGUUUUCAGUUCAUAAAAUGAUAUGUAUUAAAAAGCAAAAUUGAAUUCAAGAAGUUUAACACAAGGAGUACCAUUUGGCAAAAAAAGAAAAAAUGCAAUUCAAGGGGCACUUUAUGGCUUUAUGUUACGUCCAAUAGUUUUUAGUUAGCUACGUGCCUAAACAUGGAUGUGACGUGGAUAUCGUAAAACCAACCAAUGUACAAGAUGUCGUCGUUUGACUUUCAUAAAAUAAUAUCCGAUAUCCGUAAUUCAUUAUAUGUUAUCAUUUUACAAUAAUUAUUUUUUUGUCGUAAAAAAAUCAAUAUAUAUUGUAAAGUCAUUACUUGGGGAAAAUUAUAUUCGUUAUCAAAAUCAAGAAAACGAUCGUAUGUAAUUAUUUUUCAUAUUAGAAUGGAGAUUACUCGCAUGCUGUAUUCAUCACAUUUUUGUAUUAUUUUUAUCGUCAACAGCUGGAAUGCAUGGAUGAAACUAGACCUUAAUUAUAAUUUAUAUAUUUGGGAAGAUUCGUCCAAUUAAAAUUUUCUAUUAUUCCUUAUAAAACACUUUAGCUUGCUUACUUAGUUUUCUAAUCAUGACAAGAUCAUAUAGUUAACGAUUUUUUAAAAAAUUAUUAUUCUAUUAAUGGUAUCAAAGCUCUUAUAGAGCAAGAGAAGGGCUGAUAUAUGAAAAUUAUAUAAUUUCAUUAUAUAGUUACUAUUCUGUUUCGAAUACAUAUAUACUUUUUAAAAAAUCAGUAUAUAUAUUGGUCCAGCUAUUUUAUCUUUCUGAUAAUUAGCGGUCAACCAGUUUGAUUACUAUAUAGAGAUUUUUUAGAAAAUAGAUUUAGUAUUAGGAUUAAUUUUAAGAAAAUUAUAACAAAUUGUAGGUUUAUGAAAGAUUUUAAAUAUCUUCUUAUAUUUUGGUAUUAAGCAUUGAAAUACAUUCUUAAGUGAUACUUUUGAUUUGUCCAAGAAAAAAAAUGAUAUUUUAGAUACUACUAUUUUUAGCUUUUGUUUUUUCUCACGGGCUUUAAAUACCUCAUCCUAAAAAAAAUUCUCAAAUUCAAAACAUUUGUGAUAGUUUUUGAAAAUAAACAAAUUUUAUAAUAUUUUUUUAGAAUAAAGCAGAAAUUUGUUUUGUUAAGAAUUCUACUUCUGUAAAUUAUUUUUCAAAUUUAAAAGAUCAUACGUUAUAAAUCCUUACGUAUAUCUACAUGUAUUCAAAGGACAUGUCACAUGUGUAUUACUAAAUUUAUAGAAAUUUGAAAAUUGUAAAAAUUAUAUUUUAUUAUCUGCGGGAUCGUAUAUACAUGCUGGUCGAUCGGUCCAGACUUGAUAUGUGACGAACACACAAAAAUAAAACUUGAAUAGGAUGUAAUCGAAAGACUGUUAUGAAGUAAACAUUUAAACAUAUAUAAAUAGAAUCACUAUUUUUAAGGAAAUUUUUAUAUUUGCAAUUUUGCAAAAGUCAACAUAUAUACAAAGUCCUAUUGAGUUGACCCAAUCCCCUCCUCAACGGGACCCAAGCAACGAAGUUUCGCGCCAACUAGUUCCGUUUCAGUCAAUUGCUUAAAUAUCAUAUAACGGAUCUUUUAUACACCACUACGAGUAAUUUUAUAGAAAAAUUACACUGAAUAAACGAAAAACAUAGGCAACAUGAGCCAUUUUUUCUUAUUAUGAAUAUGAUUUUUUUUUUUUGGGGAAUCCGUUUAAAAAAAAAAGUAGUCUUGAUCACGAAAUUUCUUCUUCCACAUGUUUAUGUAUAUAUGAUCACAAAUGACGGAAUCAAAGAUACAUCAUUUAGACAUUUACCAUUAAUUUCAAAAUAUUUAUUUUCCUCGCUACAAAAUAUUCUGUAUUGACAUAUUGUCAUCAAAUAUGCAUCAUUUACCAUUUCAACAUGUUUAUUUUCCUCACUACAAAAUAUUCUGUGUCGACAAGUAGUAGCAUGAUUUUCCUUAACAAGAAUAAUUUCUGAACUGUCUUCAACCACACAUUCAAAUCUUCACCCGAAUGCAUUCCCCAUAAAAUAAUGUUACUUAGAUACUGUUAUACCGAUACACAUGAUCUUAAACUUGUUGACUGUUUUUUCUUUUUCAAAUACCAUACAAAGUAAAAAUAAAAUAAUCUUUACUGAUCCUAGCUCUUGAUGGCUGCUGGAAUUAAACAUUCACGAACCCUUUAAUUCCGCUGUGAACUCGACCCGAUAUAUAUAUAUAUAUAUAUAUAUAUAUAUAUUUUACCUACUUUGUAGAGAUAUAUCCAUAUACUUAAUCAUUUUGUACAUCCUAUAUAGCAAUUUUUUUCAACAAUUUGUUUUUCUGCCAAUUAGUAGUUUUUGUGAUGGUUACCAACUUCUUGUGAUGGCUUUUAAGAUAUUGCGAACGAAUUUGUUGUAACAUAAAUUUUAUGUCUACUUAUCAAAUUGUCAUAUUUCACAUUAUUUUACUGACUUUUAGCAACUACUUUGAAAAUUCCCUCUCCAUAUAUAUAAUAAUGCGAUAGAGUAUGGAAGUACUGGCAAUAGUCGUAGCUCAGUUGCAAACAAUUUGCGAUGAAUUUUUUGCAACAAUAUUUUCGCCAGAUACUAAUGAAACAUUAUAUUUAGUUGUGAAUUUGUGACUAGCUAAAAAAUGAGAUGAAACCAUUGCUAAUUCAUGAUAUACUGGUAUUCUCGUCCCAAUAAUAUGCGACGACUUCUUUUACAGUCUUUUCCAUCACAUAGAUGUUUUUGUACUUGUAAAGAUGUUUCUAUUUUCAUAAUACACUACAGUCUUUUACAGCCUUUUCCAUCACAUAGAUGGUUUUUUGUACUUAAAUACUUUUUUGUUAAAGACGCUUGAGUCCGUGACUCGUGAGUACGGAUACCCCACAAGGCCACAACAGCCGCAAACGAAUCCAAAAUCAGUAUAUUCGAAAUGCAUUACGUACUUACCUUUUCGAACGAAUCUAAAACGUGUCCAGUUUGAGAUUGCAUGGCUCAUAUCGUUGUUGUACAUGCAUGUACAUUGUUUAUGUAAAAUACAAUAACUUUUAAUUAUAUACGUAUAUAUAAUCAUUUUUAAAAUGUCUAUUGUAGCUUCAAUUCAAAUGGUUCGGGAGAAAAAAUACUCUCUAAACCCAUAUUAAAACUUGCAAAUAAUUAAUUUAGUAUCUUCUAAUAAUAAUUAAAUAUAUAUACAUCAAAACUAUCAUUUUUAUCUGGUAAUGUUUUUCUUAUCUGGUAACUAUAAUUAAAAGUUAUCGAACAAACUUUCAAAAUCAUUAAUUUUUAAUUUAUAAAUUAGAAUAAAUAAGGAUAAAUAUUUUAUAUGAUAUUCUAUCAUCUCCAUUUAGAGCUAUGUGAAUAGCUGUUGCGCAUUUGUGACCAAAAGGCGAGAGAGCUAAAGAUCUCGUUAUGGCCAUCUAUUGGUUUACUAAACGCUAACAUUAUCUAUGAUUUUUUUUUUCCUUUGUAAACAAUAUAUCAAACUUUUUUUGUUGUGAAAAUUCAGGAGGUGGCUCGUAUUAUUAUAUUUUAAUAAAUCUAUUCUAUUUUUUCUCAUAAACUAGGUAGACUUUUAUUAUUUUUAUUAUUAUUUUCUCUAUCAUUUUCAAUUAUAUUUAAUAUUAUUGCGAGCUAGACCCUACCAUCUCGUGUCUUAUCGUUCAAAUACUAUAGAAUAAUAAUAUUAACAAUAUGUCAACGGUUUUUUGGUAAGGACGAGUUAAGAAGAAGAAGUCAGUCUCCAAGAAUUUGACUCAGAACAAUACCAAAACUGCUUUAAUUCGUCAAAAUAUCAAUUCUGGACUAUUCAUUUCAACGUCUCCUCCAAAAACGUAUGUAUAUAAAUACCUACACCCACCAACACCACAACUUACCAAGUCUCCAAACAUAGUUCCUCGCAUUUACAUAUAUACAUAUAAUAAUAUCUCUAGAAUUUUCAAGAGCAUCAAGAUCCAUCAAGAUCCACCAGGUAUAUAUAUACGUGCUUCGUACAUACAUACAUCUCCUGAGUUUCCGUUCUUUGAUAAGUUCUCUAUAUUUGCUAAUUGAUUAUUGAUGCAUAUGUACGUGACAAUGUCUCAUUAACAGUGUAACGGAGAAGAAUGUCGCCGUCAAUGAUAGCUCCGGUGAUGGAAGAAGAGAACAAGAAAUACCAAAAAGGCGUGAAACAUCUUUGUGAAAAUGGUCUGACCAAAGUACCAACCAAGUAUAUAUGGCCUGAACCUGACCGACCCAUCUUGACAAAAUCGGACAAGCUCAUCAAACCAAACAAAAACCUAAAGCUCCCCCUCAUAGAUUUCGCUGAGCUCCUUGGACCUAACCGGCCUCAUGUUCUACGAACCAUAGCCGAGGCCUGCAAAACCUACGGCUUCUUUCAGGUUGGUUCUCUAAACCCUAAAGCACAUGCGGUGAUAUCUAGAUUUCUUGCUAAACAAGUAAGCUAUGGUAAUGGGCAGGUUGUGAAUCAUGGGAUGGAAGGAGACGUGAGCAAGAAUAUGAUAGACGUGUGUAAGAGAUUCUUUGAGCUUCCGUACGAGGAGAGAUCCAAGUACAUGUCGUCGGACAUGUCGGCUCCAGUACGAUACGGCACGAGUUUCAACCAGAUCAAAGACAAUGUCUUUUGUUGGAGAGACUUCUUGAAACUCUAUGCACAUCCACUCCCUGACUAUCUUCCUCAUUGGCCUUCUUCUCCUUCUGACUUCAGGUCAGAUUUCCAACAUUUACAUUUUUCAAUAUGUGCUGAUUUUCCCGUUUAGUGAAAAUAGAAAAUCUUAACUAAAUUUGAUAUUCCAUCAAGAAAUUCCACAAAAAGAUUUAGCACGUGUUUAAGAUACUGAACUCAAAAGCACAGGCGGUUCAACAUUUACCUACAUGAAUAUUUUUAAUUACAUCUGAAAAGGAUUAGUCAGACGAAAUUUCUGGUAGUACACACAUUUUUAGAAUCUUUCUUCAACCUAAUUCAUCUAUUUUGGUCACAAAUUUGCACAUCCAAUUAAUUAUCUAGGGCGAGGGCGGUUACUAAAUGUAUUUAAAAAUAUAGAUAUGUAAGUGGCGGCUUGUAAAUCUAUAAAGAUGAAUGGAAUUAUUAUACAACUAAAUAACAAAGAAAAUGUCACAUUACGACUUACUUAUCUAAUCUUCAUAGCUAUACACCACCACCAUAUAAUAGCAGUCACGGGGUUACUUUACGUAUCACGCAUAAAUAUUAUUAAAUCAUCUCGAAUAUAUUUUAUUGUAAUACAGUAUUCCUAUAGAUAAACUUUAUUAUAUGAGCUUUUUACUAAAUUUUUCUACGUAUAAAAAAUUGAAAACAGGAGUUCGGCGGCUACAUACGCUAAAGAGACGAAAGAGAUGUUCGAAAUGAUGGUCAAAGCCAUCUUAGAAAGUCUUGAAAUUGAUGGCAGUGAUGAGGCGGCUAAGGAGUUGGAAGAGGGAAGUCAGGUGGUGGUGGUGAACUGUUAUCCACCGUGUCCGGAGCCAGAGCUGACGCUAGGGAUGCCACCGCACUCAGACUACGGCUUCUUGACGCUUCUACUUCAAGACGAAGUCGAAGGUCUUCAAAUUCUGUAUCGUGACGAGUGGGUCACCGUUGAUCCCAUCCCUGGCUCUUUUGUUGUCAACGUAGGCGAUCAUCUCGAGGUAUAUAUCAAUUAUCAUGUUUCUAUCUAUUUUUGCUUACCAAACUUGCUUCAUAGAUUUGGUUAUAUCUUAAAUUCGAAGGAUAUGAAUGAAAAUAUUCUAAACAUACUGUAAAAUCCUUAAUUAGAAAAAGCUUUUUAAUACUUGCGCUACAAAAUAGUUAAAUUGGGUUGAUUAAGAUUAAAAUUUUAAAGUGAUUAGAACAUCAAAAUAAUUUUCUAGAAUCUGUCUCAUCUUUUUUUCUCAAUUUUGUUUAUUAUUACAUGUAGAUAUUUAGCAAUGGGAGGUAUAAAAGCGUGCUACAUAGGGUAUUGGUGAACUCUACAAAACCUAGGAUAUCGGUGGCGUCGCUACACAGCUUCCCUUUGACUUCUGUCGUAAAGCCAUCGCCGAAACUCGUCGAUAAACAUAAUCCAUCACAGUAUAUGGACACUGAUUUUACCACUUUUCUUCAGUAUAUAACUUCUCGUGAACCCAAAUGGAAGAAUUUUCUUGAAUCACGCAAGAUUCACCAUGUAUGAUAAAUAAAAUACCUUUUUCCUGAUAGUGAUAACAUAAAUAUGAAUCAAAAUUGUGUUAUAAAUUUACCAAAGCUAUAUUUUUCUUUAUGAGCAUGAUUAUAAUUUUCAAAAAAAUUAAUGAAAGAGAAUAGAGAGAUAAAUGAGAUUUUUCAUCCUUCCUCCCAAGUCUUUGUAGCUCUGUUAUCUAAAUCGUUUUAUGUUCCAGGUGGACAUACAAAUAUAUUAUAUAUCUAACCAAACCAAAUUAAAAGAUAUUUGUAAUCUGAUUGAUUUUAUAAGAGAAAAUCUCUUCCAAUGAAUUGCAUACAAUAAUAACAAAAUUAACUCCUUUUUUGGAAAAUAAUAUUUGGGAUAUGAUUCUCUCAAUGGCUUUGUGAGAAGGACACGCAAAGUCAACAUAUUUUUUCUUAAAAUAAAAUAAGAUAUUAAGAUAUAUGCUGACCAUAAAAAAUGGAAAGAAAAUUAACAAGAAAUAUAGAAACGAAUGCUAAACAAGGGAAAAUCGAAGAAAGUGAAUCAAUAAAAGAAGAUGUAUAUACAUAAAAGUAAAACUGUUGUCCAUAACAUUACUGUAACGUGUCGGUGUUUUUUUAUGGAAAAGAAAAUUAACAUUUAUUAGAUGGAUUCUCUCCUAUUUAUAUAAGAGUCUCAAUGACUUCGCAAAAGUAGAAAACGCAAACAAGUCUAAUUGUCGCAUAAGUCAUAAGAAAGUUGAUGACGAUGGCUUGUAAGAAUUUGGUUGCCAUUCUCAUAAUUGUCUCUCUCUUUGGUCUUCACCAAUGUAAGAAUUUGUGCAUGUUUUUUUUUUUUCUGUUUCCCCAAAAACCUAAUUCCACAAUAGAUAUGCUAGGUUUAAGCAUAUGUUUAAUUUGUCCCUUUUCUAUCUAUUUUGUUGUGUUUACACAUAAGAAAUUGUAUGACACAUGGUUAAUUUGUAUUUUAUUUUAUUUAUGAUUACGACAUGGUUAAUGUUGCAUCGUAUGAGCUAAUAAUGAAAAUAUUGUUUGAUAUAUGCUAUUUGCAGGUGAUGAUGAUCCACAUCCCAAGGGAAUAGAAAGAUGUUUUACACGAUUUGUUGGAAAGCCAUAUUCAUUGGAGGAUUUGUGUUGUGUCGAAGCUCCCUGGAUUUGCUUCGCUGGCUACCUUACGGACGAAUGCAUCAAGAGGUGCCCGCCUUUGCGUGAAGGAGUACCACCGUCUCCACCACGGCGAAAAGGAGUAGCACCGUCUCCACCACGGCGAAAAGGAGUAGCACCGUCUCCAUCACCCAUGCGGAAAGGAGUAGCACCGUCUCCAUCACCCAUGUCAUGAUCUUGUUUCUAAUUUUAUAUUACAAAAAAGUGACCAAAUAAAGGAAAAUAUAUAAAUGAAUUAAUUACAUAGUCGUCCAGAAAAUCAAAAAUUUUGUGUUUUCUUUGGAAAACAAUAUUAACAUUUAUGUGAUGGAUUCGAAUUCUCUCCUUUUUCUUGGAUGUCCCCGAAGGAACCGAUUCUCUAAUUUUUAUAUACUUCUCAACGAUUUUGGAAUGUCAUACCAAAAUUGAAAGAGUUGGAAAGAGCGAAAUAAGGAAGAUGAUUUGCAAGAGGUUUGGUUAUGGUUCUCAUAUUUUUCUUUCUCCUUGGUCUUCACCAAUGUAAGAAUUUGUUCAAGCUUUCUUAUUUUUUUUCCGAAUCACAAAACUUAACAAUAGAUGUACGUAUACAUACUAAAACAUUUUAUGUCCUUUUCUUAUAUGUAGUCUAUUUUUCACAUAUAACUAUAACAAUUCGCCUAUACACAUAUAUGAAUAUAAUUAAAUUAGUUUACGAACUAGCAAUUUAUGUUUGGUAUAUGAUCUUUGCAGGUGACGAAGAUAUUGAUCAUCCGAAGGGAAUAGAGUAUUUUUUUUUUUUUUUGAAAGAAUUUAAAAUUAUAUUCAAUCAAAAGCCGUUUGUACAAUGAAUGCUUAUGCAUUUUGAAAAAGAGCUGAUAAAUUUAACAAAGACAUUUGAAAGGAGAGCUUAUAACUGUGUGGCCAAGUGAUAUCUAUGGGUUUGGUCGAGUUGAGAACCACAACCGUAAGCCGUCUUCGUACCGACGGUCCCCUUGGUGUGUGAUUGAGCUGAGGCGGUUGCGAACGUUCUUGUCGACCAUCACGGUUCCCAUGGCCACGGUUUCCCCGACCUCCAGCUAGCAUCUCCUGUACCGUUAUUACUUAUUUCCAAGGCCUUCAUUGACCAACCAAACUCUACACUAGCUUUUUAACAUUGUCUCCUAAAUGGAAUAACUUUUGCAAAAGAAAAUACUUACGCUUGAUACAAAAUUUCUUCUUGCGGAUGUCUUUAUGGUAAAUAUGUCAAAGAAUAUUGAAGAGAUUGGAGUGAAUUCUUUUGCUCCGAGUUUCAUUUCCCCUUUGGAGUCUAUCCUUCCGUCGGCAACAACAAGACCCAUAGGCGGUGGAGAUAGACUCAAUUAAAGUCUAUUAAACUGUAUUCUAGACUGACAAUGUGUGUGAAAGAAGCAACUACAUAGUUAGGUUCAUUCAAUCUUAAUCGAGAAAACAGAGAGCCAACAAAGAGAGAGGAUUCUUCCGCAUGAGACUUUAGGAGAUAAAAACUGAUAGGUCUUUUACUUUCUUCCCAACAUAUCUAAUAUGGAUAUGCUAUAGAUACCUUCCACAAAUAUGUUUCUGAAAAUCUAGAUGGAUAAAGAAAAUGCGUGUGAAAGAAGUUAUCCUUCUAAAGCCACUCCUCUCCAUCGAUGAAGGAGAUGUUGGUGAAAGGAGCCGCUUCCACAUCGGAGAGUAGCUUCGCAUAGGUAACCCUUUUACUAUGAUUGGCUCCUGGUCCAUAGCACCUAUGCUCGCCGUAAUACACAGUACUACAAAACCAACUCAAUUCAGCCCACAAUACACAAUCCAAUGAACCAUUUCAUUGUGAUUUUGUUUACUAACCGUUGUGUCUUAGGAUCCCCCAUAUCAUUCCACCCAUCAAGAGAAACAACUCUAGACAUGUAUGUCUUAGAGAAGAUAACUCUUGCAUAAGGUCUCCAUGCACGUCCAAGCCACACUCUUGCACUUCCCGUGAUCUUGCAAUUCACGAACACAAAUCCUGUUCGGUCUUUCAAUGUGUCCUUUCCAUUUGCUGUAAUACACCCGAUUGUAUUUUCCUUUGCUAUGGAAUGAAGUGUGCAAUCCUACAAAAACAAAAUUGGUUUUGAAUUGUUAACUUACAUGUAAAAGUGUAUAUGUGAAACAUUACGACAUUGUUGUAUUUUUGUAUUACCUCGUAAAGGGAUCUCCCGUUACCGAAUAUGAAGUCGAUUGAUCCUUCAAUGAAGCAUCCUUUGAAGAAAUGACGUCCUUCUUGAUCCAAGAGUGUGUCUUGAUUUCCAUAGAAACCGCAUCCAUAGAAGGCGGCUUUGUCGCCUACAACCUUCAAAGCCACCGCUUGUGCAUCGACUGCUCCGGGGUUUGGUGCGGGAGCCGUGUUCUUAUUCCAAGCAAAUGACAAAACAAAUAUGUUAAGUGGAGAUAGAGAAUUUCAUUAGAAACCAUAAAACACAUUUAAAAAAAAAUCAUUAUAUAGCAUAAAACAGAAUCUUUUUGUCAAUUGAUACAUUAUUAAAUCUCAACUAUCUAGAAAAGGUAGAAAUCAUAACAUAGAGCUAGGAAGCAAUAUCUCAAGCUUCUAUCUAAGAGAUACGUUCACUAGAAACCAUUAACACAAACAUAAAAAUACUCAUUAGACACCUUAUCAAACUUAAACUAUCUAUGAAGGAUGAAAACAUUUCAUAAAAACCAAAAAACAGAGGAAAUAUAAUUUCAAACUUUAACUGGUUUUCCAUAAUCUAGGUUCAAAGCAAUAAAAUCUUUCUUUGUUAUUAAGAUGAGACACUAAAUCAUAAGUUCUCAUGAAACAAGAAACUCAAAACUAAUAAAAAAAUACUACAAAAAACAGAGGAUAUUACCUUGAAGCUUAUGUUGUAGGCGGUGAAUUUUUCUCCAAAAACCGCAACCGAAAAACUAGAAAAAGUGCCAUUGGAAGAAGCUGUGGUAUUGUUCCACUCAAUGGACGUCCUUGAGUAUCCCAUUCCUUGCACCACAAGAUUGUUUUUGUUCUCAUGAACAAUAAAUCUUUCCCUAACAAAAAAGACACUCACAUUACACAUCAAAAUAUUUAGAAGUAAAGAAGAAGAUUAUGGUAAAUAAUUUACCUAUAUAUGCCAAAGUCAAUUAAGAUUAAUGUCUUGCUUUGGCUUGAUCCAAUACUUGCAUCAAUAGCAUCUUGGACUCUUUUAAACCUCCCACAACCAUUGAGUGAAACCUUCAAUACCAUGGUGAAUCCUUUUGUUGGAAAUUUUGAGAGGUGGUCACACUUUGAAGGAUGAUGGAUCCUUUGAUCCACCGAUUCAAUUGGAGAGAUGAUGGAGAGAAACAAAAUGAAGAAUAGCAUGAUUGACAUAGUUUAGGUUCAAGAAGAUCAAACGAGAAGAGAUUUUGUGAAAUGUGAAGAAGUUUGUGAGAGGAUCAAAGCUUCUUAACACAAAGCUUCUUAACUUGGGGAAGAUGAUAAAGUUGUGUAGAAAAUGGCAAAUGCUCUAGUAUAUCUACUCUAAAUCUCUCAUUCUAGACUUAGUAAGCUAUGAUCACAACAAUUACAAACAUUAUUUCUUUGACAAUGACCCUAUACCAAGUUCAUUUGAUCUUUUUGACUCUCAUCCAAUUAAUUCUCUCUUUAUUUUUUGUUUUACUCUUUUAAUUCAUAUGAAACCUUUCUAUUUAAGUAUUUUCAAUAAUAGAUGGUUUUGUAGUUUAGGCAUUUAAGAAAAUUUGAGACUCUUAAACAUCCUAAUGAGUUGGUGUCUUGCAUAGCUUUUUGCACAUGAUGCUUUUAACAUUACUCAUCUUAUUUUGGCAUCUAUUUUUAUUAACUAAGAAACAUAACAACAUUUAUAUUGUAACAACAUUUAUAUUUUAUACUUUUGUAUUACUUAUCAAAUAUACUUUGUUACGUUCAAAAUAUAAAAUAUAAAUGUUAUUUUGGUAUCCAUUUUAUAUAUUGAACGUAACAACAUUUAUAUAAUGAUUCUCGGUCGAUGUCAAUAUAAACGUAACAAUGCUUUUUACUUGGACUUUUGAUACUGUCAUUACUUGGACUUUUUGAUACUGUCAUCAGCAAUGGAAUAAUGCUAUUUUAGGGAAUUAGUAGUAUACAUUAAAUGGUUUUGUAGUUUGUGCAAUUAAGAAUUAUUUGAUUUUUACAUGUGAGUUGAUGUCUUCUUGUACAGUAAUCAUAAUGCUUUUUAACACUCAACUUUUGUUUUUGUUAUAAUCUAAUUAAAAUUUUAAAUAAAAGCACACAUUAGUUUUUAAGGAUUUUGCUUUUCCAAUAAACUUUGUUUGAGAACUCUCAUAAAAACCUACAUUAUUUUCAAACUAUACAAACGCUAGAAGAAAACAUAGAAUUAUAGAUUAUAAAUAUCACCACCUAAGCCAUUUGUAAUACCACUUGUUGGUUUCGACUCCUCUAGAUGAUUUGACAUUCCAUUUUCCAACAAUCCAGCAUUUUCAUCUUCUUCUUUGUAAAACUUGGUCAAUUUAGUCUUUCUAGUUCUAGUGUAAACAAUAAAACCAUUGACAUGAGUUGUUUUAAUUCUCUUGCAGCUAGUCCUACUCCUAUCACCAGCCUCUCCACACUCACUGUCUAAGGCCAACCGCUUAACCGGAGAUUGCCAAACCGAACUGAUACAGCCGCCUAUCGACUCGAGCACAAAACCUUCCUCAUUGCAACGAAUCUACUUAACAACAAAACCCUCCCAAGGAAAUCUACACAAAACAGAAAAAAAAAGUGAAGCAAACUGAUAUUAACAAGUUACGAAUAGAUUUAGCAAAAACCAUGGAAGCUACAGAAGGAAAGUGUUUGUCAUAUGAUUCCAUUAAAAAUGCAGAGAGAGAGAUAUAAGCUUCUGCAUUCCAAAACCUUCCUUGGCCUAUUGUAUAUUAUGGACAGCAUUUUGCUAGUUACCCUGCCCCAUAAUUUUUCGACCAAGAUUAAAUGGAAAGAGAAUCAUCAGCCAUGAGCUAAACCAAUUUGUCCUUUGUUUAACAGUACUACUUAUCAAAUCGAUACAAAAUAAUGGCUACCACAUAGAGUUCUAAUUCUAAAUUUCGAACUGCAGAGGCACUUACAUGAAAAUUAUCCAAUGCCUGAGACAGAACCAAUUGGGUUUCAGGAGAAGAAACUUUUCCGCUGAUCAGUCUCCAUCUUGUUGGAAUCUACAUCAGUUCCCUCUUGCUUCAUCUGUAUUAUUCCCAAAGAAGAAUCUGAAAGCUUCUCUGCCCCUCCAAAAAGUAACUUUUGUAAUGUGGAGUUGAUCCUCGUACAGUCCAUGGAGCAAAACCAAUUUUCUUUAAGCAAUUCCUGUCAGAACAUCAUAUAACAUCAAAACCUUUGCUUGUAAGACACUUAAACAUAAAGCUAAUGGGCCUCGGUCACGUUCUAUAGGCCCAAUAUGAAAACUUCACAAUGGUUAUGGCAGUUGGGCUAAUAUGAAUAUCCAGCCCAAACGCAUAAAUAUCGAUUUUUUUGUUUGGUAGUGAUAAAUAUCUAUUUUUGAUAAAACGUUUACAUAUUUAUAUCUUUUAAUUUCUUAAAACGUAGAAUACCAUGUAUUAUACGUAUCCCAAUCUUAUCCAAAUUGAUUAUCCCUAAAAAAGAAAAAUGAGAUAACAGAAGAUCAAUGAUUAAAACGAUGAUUUUGUUUUUCUGUGUAAUUUAAUGUCUUUGCAAGUGUAACAACACACAUCUGUAUUAUCCUCAAAUAACUCUUAAUUAUAAGGAAAUACAUGUUACCAAAAGAAAAUUAAGGAGAAUCAUGAGAAAUAUAGACAUGAUUGUUAGGAAAGGGAAAAUAGAAAAUGAAAGUAACCAAAUAAAGGAAAUAUAUCUAUGAAAUUAACAUUUUAGAGUUAUUGUCUUUUCUUAAAUAAGAUUUAACAUUUAUGUGCUGGAUUCUCUCAAUGACUAUGCGAAUGGAAUUGUUGAAACGCAGUCAUAAUAUAUAUCUCAUAUAAUAGCAGUCGUUGAUUAAACUUUAUGAAUUCAAUUCAUUGUUGCUAUAUUUUUACGUAAAUAGAUUUUUUUUUUUUUUAUGUAACAUUUUUAAGGUAAUGAUUGUGUAGGUCAACACGAUCCCGAUCAUCCGAAAGGAAUAGAAAAAUGUUUCCAUAAAUUUAUGGGAGAGCCAUGGACACUCGAGUAUUUGUGUUGUGUCGAAGCUCCUUCCAUUUGCUUCCCUGAAUAUGACAAAAAAAGUUGCCUCAAAAUAUGUCCGCCGCUACGAAAAGGUAGAGCACCGCCUCCGUCACCUAGUGCAACAUAGUCUUCUCUAUGAAUGCUCAUUGAAAUGAUUAAGCUCUUUGAAUUAUGUUCUCUCUGAUAGUGAAAUAUCUUCAAUUUCAGAUUUGUUGGAAAUGUCUUGAUAGAAUGAUAGAGCUAAUUAAACAUACCGAAAUCUCAUAUUAAGAUAUACAGUACAUGAGUUUCAUCUUCAUCGCAAAUCAGAUCUCAAUGUGACUACAUAUACUUAUAAUAUGUAUGUAUCUACAUCUAAAUGUUUUUUAUUCAUGUGUAUCCUUAUAUAUGUUAGUAAAAUCCUAUAAGAUCAUCUCCAAUGUCUUUAGAUGUAUGCUCAGAGACUAUGUUAGUGUGACGGAGCCAUUCAUCACCAUCUAUAAAAGAUACAUCUAUGAAAGAAGAUGCUUCUGAAUCUGUGAGUUGUUUCCCAAACAAAACCCUCUCUUUGUAAUCUGCUCCCGGUCCAUAGCAUUUAUGCUCUCCAAAAGUCACCGUCCUAAAAAAUAAAACCCAUACAAGACAUAAGUAAGAUCUUUUAUGUAUGUUGAGAUGUGUAUAUAUAUAGUCUCUUACUUUUCUUUGGUCGAGUCUCCCCAGUUAUUCCAUCCUUCUGGAGUAAUGAUUCCAGACAUGUAAGUAUUUGAGAACACGACUGUAGCAUAGGCUCCCCAAGCUCUUCCAAGCAAUAUUUCCCCACUGCCAUCGAUCUUACAAUUCACAAAAGAGAAUCCUGACUGUUCAUCUUCUGAUUGUCUUCCUUGAGCUGUGAUAGAUCCGGUAACUCCGGAUGUAUUCCCCUUUGCUAUUGAAUUGAUAGUACAAUCCUGUUUGCGAUUUUAGAGUAUUAUGGUCAUGUUUGGAAAAGGUCAUGCAUGAAUGUGUUUUAUCUUUAACCUGGUAGAGUGAUCUUCCAUUGCCAAAUAUAAAAUCUAUGGACCCUUGAAUGAAGCACUCUUUGAAGAAAUGUCUUCCUUUAUCAUCUAGAAGUGUAUCUUGAGCCCCAUAGAAUCCACAACCAUAAAAGGCAGCUUGGUCUCCUUCAAUCCUUAGAGCUACUGCUUGUGCAUCAGCUUCACCAGGAUCUGGUUCUGGUGCAUUGUUCUUACUCCAUUCAAAACACAUACACACAUGAAAACUCAUAUCAUUAUAUGCGUUAGCUAAUUAGGUUUAAUUGUUGUGACCUCGAUAUCCUUACCUUGAAACUAAUGUUGUAAGCUGUGAAGUUAGCUGCAAACACUACAAAGGAGAAGCUAUCAGCAGUGUUUCCGGCGGAUUUUGCUGUGUCGUUCCAUUCGAUGGAUGUGUUUUGAUAUCCUCUUCCUUGAAUAACAAGGUUUGUCUUGUUUUCAUUAACCGUAACCUUUUCCCUGCUUGCUUAAAUUGAACUCAAACAUUACUAAAUAUAUAUAUCAUAUUACACUAUAAAAGAAAAUUAUUGAGCAAUGGAGAUAGGGGAAAAAGAACAAGAGCUUGGAGUUGAAGAUAGGACCUAUAAGAACCCGAAUUAACGAUGAUGAGAGUCUUGGAAGAGCUUAAAUCAGGGACAACAUCAAUGGCGCUUUGAACAUUGCUGAAGUUACCACAACCAUGCAAAUCAACAGUCAACACAAGAGAAGUCUUGUAUUGGUGUCUAAGCCUUGACGUCCAUUUCUCACAACAUUUUAUUGGUUCAUGGUGGUGAUAAUGAUGAUGGUGAUGGUGGUGAUGGUGAUGAUGGUGGUGUUUGUGUCCAAAAAAUGUUGAAUAUUUUGCUAAUGCUCCGAUAGUUGUAGCUAUAGAAGAGAGAGAUCUAGAGGAUGGCAAUUGGAUCGUGUAGAGAGCAAGAAUGAUGGAUAAAAGAGCUAUUAGGGUGGUUAAAACCGGUUUGAUGGGCAUGUUUAAGAUAAUAGUAGAUGGGUUUAGUGUGUCUCAACUAGUUAAAAGUAAAAAGAGGCCAAAUGUUGUUUGGUAUUUAUACAUGUGUGAGGAAGAGUGGCGUGAGAGUAAAGUGAAGGAUGGGCUUCGAAGACAGUGUGGUACCUUUUUCUUCGUAAAUCAGAUACGUUUUAUCUAAAGUCAUUUCUGAACAAUUUCGUGAUAAUUAAACAAAAAAAGUAUAUACGUCGCUUUAGAAACUUAGAAAAACUGUGGAAUAAGUUUUCUCAUAGGCAUCUUCAAUCGUUUAAGUUAGAGACGCAAUAAUGGAAUAAGAUGAUGAAGUAUUUUUACAAAUAUCAGACGACAAUUAUGAAUAUUUUUGACUUACUAAGUAUUGUUUUUUUUUGGUUUUGGGUUAGAAAAAUCGAAAUCUUGUUUUUUUCUUAGACAUAACGUCUGUUUUGCAAGACUUAUAACCUGAAAGUUUAUAAUUUUUUUUCUUUUAAAGACAUUUUUACAUAUGAAAUAUUUUAUGAUUUUGCUUAAUAGAUCAUUCCUUGUUGUAUUAACCAUCUUGAAAACGAAGUAUCACGGCCAGUCGGCUAUCAUAACAAAAAGAAAAAGAAAAACUUAUAAUGAAAUCUAGCCAAAAGCAUAUUAUAAAUUUUUAUGUAACAAUCUAUAAAAUUUAUAAGAGUUCAAUUUAGAAAUGGGUGACUUAUAUGAUGUUGGAAAAAAUAGUUGUUGAGAUUAUAAGAGAAUUUUCAAAUCAACCGACAGGCGAGCGAGUUGGGGGUGGUACACGCCAAGAUGGUUAAUGAUGCUUAAUAAAACCAUUUCAAAAGCAACUUUUACUAUAUUUUAAUUUUGCGUUGUUUAAUAAAAUUGUGAGUGUUUUAUCUAUUUUGGUAAAAAACACUGACUCAUUUAUUUACAGAAACCACUGAGUUUGACUCGUCGAAAGAAAAAUAAUUUCAUUUACAUAAACAAUGCUUUUCUCCAUAAACUUUCUAACUCCAAAUUUGGUAUCGGUAUGGUUUUAGGAGAUUACAUAACAGUAUGAAUUACUUUGAAAAAUCUUGAACUAUUAACAUCUUAAUGAGUCGGUUGACGUACUGUAUAUUUAUUCAAGCAAUGAUGCAUGGAUCCAGAAACUAUUUUGAGCCGAGGCAAAAAUAAACGUAAAUUAAUAGUAUUGAACAAUAAAUUAAACAAGAAAUGAACCGUGUAAAUUUGGAAAAAGAAAACAUCAUUUUUCUACGUAAUUUAUCAACAUUGAUCUAUUUUAAAAUUUCAAAGAGUCUUGCAAAACAAAUUCGAGUUCAUCACUUUCUUUCAAUAUAUAUCGUCUCGUGAAUCCAAGUGAAAUAAUUGCCAUGAAUCAUGCAAGAUGCACCUUAUAAAACAGAAUAAAUUUAUCAUUUUUUCCAAUGCUAAUAACAUUAAGGCGAAAUAAAUUGUUUUAUAGACUUACGUUGUAUCAUGUAUGGUUAAAGUCUUAAAGAGAUAGAGAAUAACAAAUACACAAAGUGUAUAAAACAUAAAGAAGAGACUUGAGAAAUGAGUUCUCAACCAAAUCAAACCGAUCACACACGAUUAGUAAAAGAAAAAUUUAGAUUUAACUGCAAUAGUUUUAUAAAUUCUAAAACUACUCAUAAGAGGUUAAACAAAGUUUAAAUUUUCAACUCAUAAUUCCUAACAAUUUAACUAUAACGCACAACAUAAAUGCAGUUGUUAAUUCUAGGAAAAAAAACAGAUUAGUAAGCGCAAGUUUUCGAAAUGGGCAUUAGGCCCAAUUGAUUUAUCUUCAAGAAAUACCCAUUAAAAAGGUUAAUAUUUACGAAAUCUGCCACUGCUCUAAAGACUGUAAUUUACUGCGUUUUUCUCUAUCUUCCUUCCUCUCCAGUGGCUGCAAAAUCCUAAAUCUCACCGAAAAGGAUUUUGUAUUGUUACAUCCUCUUCUUCUUCCUCCAGAUCCAUGUAUGAAACCUCCCCUGAACCCUAAUUUAGCUAUCGAAUUUGAGAUUCGAUCCGAUGUUUACUUCCAAAUCUUCGUUUCGUCUCUGAUAAUAUAACUCCAUCGUAAUAGAACUGAUUUCAAGACGGUUCGUUUCGUUUUCCUCUAUCCCAGAUUCGGAAAGCUACCUUGUUUUGAACUCCAUAGUUUUCCCGAAUCUAUUCAUCACUUGCUACUAUCAGUUUGCUUCUUCUGUUCUGUGUAGAUUUCCUUGGAGGGGGUUUGUUUUGACGCAGUUUCGUUGCAAAUGAAGGAAGAUUUAGUGCCCGAGUCGAACAGUUCGGUUUGGCAAUCUCCGGUUAAGCGGUUGGCUGUAGACGGCGAGUGUGGUGAGGCUGGUGAUAGGAGUAGGACUAGCUGUAAGAGAAUUAAAACGACUCAAGUCAAUGGUUUUAUUGUUUACACUAGAACUAGGAAGACUAAAUUCACCAAGCUUCAUGAACAAGAAGAUGAAAAUGCUGGAUUGUCGAAUCAUCUCGAGGAGUCGAAACCAACGAGUGGUGUUACAAGUGGCUUCGGUGGUGAUAUGUGUCGCAGCAGCUCGGUAGGUGAAACUAACGUUAGUGGGAGCUCUUGUGUUAAGAAUACACUUGUUGAGAGCUCCUCCGGGAAAGUCGUUGUGAUAGAGCGGUUAGUUACUGGCGGCUUAGCUGAAAGUCCGGCAGUUGAGACUGACAGUAGCUCAUUAGUGGAUGUUGUAAUUGACGACAUCAAUUUUGUGGAAUUGUUACAUGAAGCGAUUCCUGUUGAAAUUCUGUCUGAAGGAAGCCUGGAUUUUGAGGUGAAAAGACUAGGAACUAAAGUUAGAACCAUGGGAAAAUCCUAUAGCGUCUCGGAGAAGAAAAAGCAUGGAUCUUUUAAGCGUACAGCACAGAUCUAUAAAUCUAUUGUGAGAAUGAAGAAGGUAAAUAAUUUGGUCCCUGAGAAUGUAGAGGUUCUUGCGGAACCAGACUUUGGCCGUGAGGGAUUAGAUGAACAGAGUCAUUCUGUCAGUCUUGCGGACAAGUCCAUUUUAAUCCGCAGCAGGCCAGAAACAGUGAGGGAUCUUUUUGAGACCGGUUUACUCGAUGGUUUGUCGGUGGUUUACAUGGGUACUGUUAAGGUUGGGCCAUUCAGUUUUGUUUUGUAUGCUUUUGUGACCAUUUCAUUGUGUCUUGAUCUAAAAAGUGAAUUGUUUAUGUCCCAGUCUCAAGCCUUUCCUCUCCGUGGCAUCAUUAGAGAUGGUGGAAUUUUGUGCUCAUGUUCCUCAUGUGAUUGGGCUAACGUAAGAUUUUUUUUUUCCACUCUGCAACUUAGAAUGUAGGAUGAAUUUGAUGAUCUCUAGUGAUUCUAUCAGACUUACUCUCGUAUAUAAACAUUUUCCUUUUUGUAGGUUAUUUCAACUUCCAAAUUUGAGAUUCAUGCUUGUAAACAAUACCGAAGAGCAUCACAAUACAUUUGCUUUGAGAAUGGUAAGAGCCUGCUAGAUGUUCUAAAUAUAAGUAGGAACACUCCUCUACAUGCUCUCGAAGCAACAAUUCUGGAUGCUGUUGAUUAUGCAUCUAAAGAAAAACGUUUUACCUGUAAAAGAUGCAAAGGUGGGUCUGUUUCUCCCUAGCUUGUUCUAAUAUUUGUCGACUUCAUAGAUUUGGUUAAAUUGAACUUUAUUACCUGUGCUGUCUAGGUCCCUUCCCUUUCUCCUCUCUUGGCCAUAGAGGGUUUCUGUGUAAGUCAUGCUCGGAGGUAGAAACUUCUCAGGCCAGCCUUGCUGCGACAAGGACCUCAACUAGUGCUCCUGCGUGCAUAACAUCUCCGGUUAAGAGUAGAUUGAAGAUAACAAGAAAGUUGGUAACCUUUAUUCUUUGUACUCGUUGUCAUAAGGUGUCUUUUCUCCUGUUUAGGUUUACAUCUUAUGUGCAGCGAAAAAUGAUUUUCUUUGGGCAUCAUGCAUGAGUAUAAAUAUUCAUUUAUGUGCUGUCUUGUUUUGCCUUUUCAGGCCAUCAGAAUCCACGUCAAUAUCACCAGUAUUUAUGUCAUCACUUGGAAAUAGCACUCGAAAGAUAACAAGAAAGUUGGUACCAUUUUGUUGCUUUUUGUUUUGUUAUGUAUUUUGCAUCUUCAUCAAUCAUUGCAUGAGAAUCUACAUUUUCCUAAAUCAUAAGAUAGUCUUGAUGUUCAAUUUUUGUUGUCACUUUAGCAUGUUAUAUUAAAUGCAUGUCCUUGCUUUUCUUGACUUUGGUUAUAAAAUCUUAAAUUAUCACCAUGCGUCUCAGGGCUUUACGUCAAGCUUUGGUUGGGAAGGCUUAUCUCAGUGCUUCUACAAAUGUAUCUUCACAAAAGAAGUGCCGAUCAAAAUUUAAGAAGAUGUUGGUAUUUUUACUUCAUAAUGAUGUAUUGAUGUUAGCGGAACCGACACUGAUGAUAAAGAGUCUGAUUUUGCUGCAUCUGGUUUCCUUGUAUGUCUUGAAGGUUGACCCAACAUUCUGUGACCCCCAAGGCUUUGAAAAGUGUGUCCCUUUCCGUUUCUUCGAAAAAGAGGAGUUAUAGAUUAGCAAGAAAGUGGGUAUCAUUUAUUUAUUUAUAGCACCUUAAUUUUGUUAUUCUGGUUGGUUUCCAUUUAUUAAGUUUUACCUAUUUCUCCUUUUUCACAGGGAUCAAGGAUUGCACAAGUUAGUGUUUGAUAGAGGGGGAUUACCAGAGGGAACUGAACUAGGCUACUAUGCUCGUGGACAGGUGACUAACUACCUUAUCCUCUGUGUGGUUAUAUGGUUGUAUCCCUCUUCACCUGGCCUUCUCUUUUAAGACAUAUAUCACUGUGGACAGAAAUUGCUCGGAGGCUACAAAAUGGGCGCUGGAAUAUAUUGUUACUGUUGCAAGUGCGAGGUAUUUUUGGAUAUUUUACAAACCACAUCAUACCCUAUCAGUUAGUUCUUAAUUUGGCAUUUUGCGUGUAGGUGAGCCCCUCUCUGUUCGAAGCUCAUGCAGGCUGGGCAUCUCGUAGAAAACCGUGCGAAUUUGCUCUUUUGUCUCUUGUAUAUUGGUUUUGGUACAUUCCCUUAGUUACUGAUUAUUCUCUAUUUGUUGCAGUUAUUUUUACAUAUAUACAUCUAAUGGUGUAUCUCUUCACGAAUGGGCAACUACUUUCUCACAUGGUCGGAAAUAUUCUGCUAAUGAUAAUAACGACUUGUGUGUUAUUUGUGCUGAUGGUGGAAAUCUUUUGCUCUGCGAUAGCUGCCCAAGAGCUUUCCACAUAGGUAAAGCUGUACUUAAUCAAUUUUGCAGCAUGCAUUUUCCUUCUCUAUCUCUCGAAUAAUUUUGCCCCUACUUCUGUACCUACACUUGUUGUUAAAUAUUACAUGCUGGAUUAGUUAAUUUGUAUGUUUAAAAUGCUGAUAUAUAAAUAGAUAUGUAUAUUAACAAGCAGGAUCAUUUUGAGAACCUUUCCCAUUUUGUCACUUUGCAGCAUAUCUGAUCACGUCUCUUAAAAAGAGGGUCUGUUGACAUCCUUUUAUGUUUUUGAUAACUCUGUUGAAAUUUCAAUCACUUUUACUCACAUAUCUGUCUGGUCUAUGUAGAAUGUGUUUCCCUUCCGAGUAUACCUCGUGGUAACUGGCAUUGCAAAUACUGCGAGAAUAAGUUCACGAGCGAAAUUGCUGGAGAGUACAAUGUCAAUUCUUCUGCAGUUGGGCAACUAGAAGGAGUUGAUCCUGUUGAUCAAUUAGCUGGACGAUGCAUUCGCGUUGUCAAGAACAUGGAAGCUGAAACAAAUGGGUGUGUAUUAUGCAGGUAAAUAUUCUGAGUAGUCUAAAUUCUUCUGUUAAUGUGUCUUAUGCUAAAAUUUGUUUGACAACUCUGCCCUUAAAGUUUUAUGGGUGUCACCUUUUCUGAGAGAAUCAGGUCUAUCUUAAAUUAAUUGUUUCGGAAGAACGCUAGGUCUCUUAAAAGUAUUACAUGUUUCGAUCGACCAUUAUGUCUAUGUUAAAGUGUCUUAAGAGUAGAGGUUUUGAUGUGAUAGCUGCAUUUUGUAUGUCUGGCCAAAUAGUAAAUAGAUAAAACUAAACUGGUAUAUAUUUUUAUAAUCUUAGCUAAUAAAAGAUUUUGUCUGCAGUGGUUCUGAUUUUUGUAGAUCAGGAUUUGGGCCACGGACAAUCAUAAUAUGUGAUCAGGUACUUUCUCAAUCGUGGCGAGAUCUUAAAUUAGAUUAUUCUGUAAAUUUUAUAUCAAACUAUUUAUCUCUAUUUUGCAACAGUGUGAAAAGGAGUACCACAUUGGAUGUUUGAGUAGUCAGAAUAUUGUGGAUUUAAAGGUAACCACAUAUAGCUUCAACCCCAACUCACAAUCUUCUGCGUUGACAUAGAUUGGAUCAUUAUCUUUAUUGUCUGCCCUGAUUUCAACUUACACGGGGUAUAUGAUUUUCUGACAGGAAUUACCUAAAGGAAACUGGUUUUGCUCCAUGGACUGUACGAGGAUCAACUCCACAUUACAAAAGUUACUUCUUGGUGGGGCGGAGAAGCUUUCAGAUUCUUCUUUGGGAAUAAUACAGACGAAGCAAGAGAGAAAUGAUGUAUAUUCCAUCAGUGAUCUUGACAUCAGAUGGAGACUGAUCAGCGGCAAAGUUACUUCUCCUGAAAGCCGAAUGUUACUGUCUCAGGCAUUGGCUAUUUUUCAUGUAAGUGCCUCUGCAUUUCAAAACUUAGAAUUAAAUCUUUAUGUGAUGGCAAUUUUGUUGUUUUGAUUUGAUAAUUAGUACUGUUAAACAAAGGAAAAAUCUGUUUAGCUCAUUGCUGAUUCUCUUUCCAUUUAAUCUUGGCCGGAAAUUAUGGGGCAGGGUAACUAGCAAAAUGCUGUACAAAAUACACAAUAGGCCAAGGAAGGUUACAUAAGUCUAUCUUAAAAGUUGAAUCAUGUAUGUAUAUAUGUAUGAAAUAAAUUAUCUUGAUUUGGUUAGUAUGUACAAAUAUCUCUAUUUCUAUGCCUACAAUUUGAACCAAAGGCAUAACUAUGCAGAAGUUUAUAUCUCUCUCUGCAUUUUUAAUGGUCACAUAUGACACACAUUUUUUCUCAAUAGGAAUUAGCUAAACUUUACCAUCGUGCCCUAAGUUUAUUUCAGUGUCUUCCUUACAGGAUUGCUUCGAUCCUAUAGUUGAUCCACUUUCUGGGAGCAAUCUUAUUCCGAGAAUGGUUUACGGGUGAGGACUCUUCCAUUAAUGCCCUCUUCAAGUAGCCUGACUUUCAAAUACCAUCAAUAACAAUCACAAGUGCCUUUUUCGUUUAGGAAGACUAUGCAAGGACAAGACUACGGGGGAAUCUGCUGUGCUGUUUUGACUGUUAAGUAAGAUCUCUUCCCUACCUCUACCUAACCAUAGGCCAUAUUUGUAUUGCGGUUAAGCAUUGAUUUGGCUUUUAUACAGUGCGACUGUUGUUUCUGCUGGACUAUUACGAGUAUUUGGCCGAGAGGUUGCAGAACUUCCAUUAGUUGCAACACGCAUGUGCAGCCGAGAGAAGGUAAUGUCUUCUUGUCUCUUGAAAAUUCGUAUCUAGAAGAUAAAUACCGUUUCGUGAUUGACUUAAGGUUUCAUGGGGUUUUAUAUAAAACAGGGCUACUUUCAAUUGCUCUUUUCCUGCAUUGAGAAGCUACUCUCAUCCCUGAAUGUUGAAAGCAUCGUGGUUCCAGCAGCUGAAGAGGCAGAGCCCUUAUGGAUGAACAAAUUUGGGUUCAGAAAACUUGCACCUGAACAGGUAAAAACGAUGACUUUGACUCGUUUGUGAAUUGUGUAGUUUUUGAAAUUUGUUCUAAGAGAAUCUGACAACAAUUAAAUCCUUCGUUGCUACAGCUCAGUAAGUAUAUAAAGAUAUGCUACCAAAUGGUGAGGUUCAAAGGAGCAUCCAUGCUGCAGAAACCAGUCGAUUCACACCAAAUCAUUGACAAGACAAUCGAAACCGGUGCAUCUUUAGAAGAAAAUUUUGAUUUGAAACAAGCCAAUGAGUUGUAUGUUCAUCCUUUGUGUUGAGGCAAAGCAAGUCAUGGAUUUAGUGAAAGAUGGAUUAAAGGGUGAAGCGUUUAGGUUUUAAACAAGUUCUUACAACAUAUACUAGUGUAAAUUUUUGUAGAUGCGAAGCUCUUUUUUGUUAUGUUUUUUUAGGUUCACAUUUUUACAUUGUGUUCUUUUUGGGAACAAAAGUUUACGUUUCUACCAAUACGUUUUUAUUGGAUUAUAUCAAGAUGGUUACUCGCUUUUCAUUUUCUGAUCCAUGAUACCAUUUUUAUUCAAAUGCACCAAAAUUGUAAAAACAAAUUUAUGGAGGAAUUGAGUCUUCAAACUUUACCAAUGGUCUAUUCAUCGAGCAUGGUGUAUUCAAUCGAGCAUUUGAAGUAAUUUGUGAUAAACUAACACUAAUUUUCAACAAAACUAUCAUAAUUACAUUGUUGCAGAGAACCAUAAUAUCUCAAUAGCGACAUGUUCAAAAAAGAUGGUCAACUUUAUAGAGAUAGCUACUAAAAAUGUAUGCAAAAACAAACGUCAAAGAUUAGUCUUUAAGACUUGGUAUUUUCAAGAACAUCUUUGUAUCUUCUUCCUCACAUCUUUGUUCAAACAUUUUCUAAGAUUCAGAAGUCUAAGAGAAAGAAUCAUGAUUUUUCUCAUUGUUCUACUCUCUCUCUCUCGAAAAUCCGUUUUUCUUCUUCAUCAGAAUCUUCUUUCACUUCAAAGUUAGAUUUCUUUCCAAACCACAAUGACUUUCAUCAGAAUUCUCUUGUGAUAACUAUUGAUCUAUAUGGUAAAGGUAACUUUACUAACGUUCAAAAGGCCAUCGAUGUUGUACCUGAUUUAAGCUCUUCCAAGACUCUCAUCAUCAUCAAUUCAGAAGUUUACAUGUUGUUACUCAACUUUAUAACACAUGUUCUUUAUGUUCUCUGUUCUAGACUUCUACUGAUGUAUGGUUUCACUGGAAAAACAGGGAAAAAGUUAAGGUUGGUGUAAACAAGACAAACAUAUUGAUGAAAGGCAGAGGAUAUCAAAGAACGAUCAUUGAGUGGAAUGAUACUGCGCAUUCAUCAGGAGGAACUGCAAAUAGCUUCUCUUUUGGUAUAUUUUCAGCAAAUUUCGUUGCCUAUAAUAUCAGCUUUAAGGUAAACAUAUUGUAGAUCUCUCAAGUUAUAACCUAAUUCGUUUAUAUCGUUGAGUUCUCAUAUGUUUUGUUAUAACCAAUCUUAAGAGCCUAAUUCGUUUCAUAUGUGUUGUUAUGGCCAGUCUUAAAGAGCCUAAUUCGUGUAUGUUGUUGAGUUCUCAUAUGUUUUGUUAUGAUCAGUCUUAAGAGCCUAAUUCGUUUCAUAUGUUUUGUUAUAACCAGUCUUAACAGCCUACUUCGUUUUGAACCAUUAUUUAGUUACGUUUUGUGCAAACGUUAAGCUGUUUUUGAGUGAUUAUCUAGAUAAACUAUCUAGACUUAAACCAAGUGAUAUACGUGUAUCUAUAUAAAUGUACAUGUUAAUAUCUCACACAUGUGUAUAAGAAUAUACUAAAAAAUUGUGAUUUUUGAACAUUUACACCAUUGUGAUAUAUGUGUGUGUAUAUAAAUCUACUAACGUGAAACCGAAAAUGAAAACAAAAUCAAAGGAAGGUCACGACUCACAAAUAAGGAGAUUUUAUGAAAAGUUUCUACAAAUUUGUUGAUUUGUUUUAAAAACGUGUCAAAAAUUAAAAAAUAUUAUAAAGGAAAUGAAAAUAUAUAAGUUGACUCAAUAGUUAAAAGCAUGAUAAAAUAUAAAAGUAAGUACAGCUAAUAUGAAAAAAUGUUAAAAUAUGACACCUAUCAAAUACCAAAAGUGCAAAAGAUUUAUAAUAAGAUAUGUCUAUCAUGAUAUAUUUCUACUCUAAGCUUUGAUAACAUCAUAUUAGUCAGUGGAUACAUUUUCAUGCUAGAAUGGGUAGAAAAUAUUAUAAAUUAGAAGAAAAUCUCGAAGGAAGAUCCAUAUAAAGAAAACCAUUAUUUUUCAUAACUAUAUAGAAAAAAAAAAUAUUAUUAUAAAUGUAUUGCUAUAGUAAUAAAAAAAUAUUUCUACCUAAAUAUCUAUUUUAAAAUUCCUGUAGUCCAUAAAGAAAAUGAAUAGUGAAUUUAAUUUUUAUUACUUGGAGAUAAGAUUGUCAUCACAACUUCAAAACUAUAAAUAGAGAGUUACUUUCACAUGAUAAACUCAUCCAUUGAUCAACAUAAACGAAAAAGAAAGAAAAAAACACACACAAACAGAUACAACAAAAAUGGGUAAGAAUUUGAGCAUGAUGUUGAUGAUGGUGAUGAUAAUAGUGGCGAUUCUGAUCGGAGGUGAAGCAAAAUCGGAGAUAGAAUGCAGUAUUUUGUGUCGUCCCCAUUGUAAAAGCUCAUCAUCAGCUGGAGAAUGUUCUGACUGUCAUAGAAAAUGUGAGCAAUCUCCACCAUCAGUGAAGAAACAGAUUCUUAAGAACGAGAACAUGACCAAAAAAUAUGAUAUACUUGACUAAUUUAUAACAUAUAUGAUGAUUGUAUGAUUGUAUCGAUGGACACUUUAGUCCAACUGUUGUUGCUUAUGUACUUCUAUAUUAUCUUUUAAUAAUAAGAAGAGAAAUUGCAUUCUUGUUCUCAGCUCAUCCUCAUAUUGGUGAAAAUAUUAACUUGAAUAUAGACACAACUAGUUAAGUGGUGGAAUCAAUAUACAUAUUCAUAUGCUUUUCAUUAAUUACAACACAAUUAAGUUGACUGAUAUACAAUGCAAUUAGUUAUGUACUUAUGUUGGGUACACAAAAAAUAAGGUUAUGUACUUAAGUUAGAUAAAACACUCCCUUAUAUGAAAGGAUAUGUAUACGUUUAAUGAUACAUGAUGGAAGUCAUCUUUUUUUUUUUUUUAAAGUCAUAUAACUAAAGACUAUGCAUGCAUAUCAUUUUAAAGUUAGCUUUAUACUCAAAAGUUAGAUCAUCUCCAUUGGAAGUAUCUCAAUGAGAUACCAAAAAAAAAAAAAAAUAAUUAAAAAAGGAAAAGUAUGAGAGAAGGGAGAAAAAGUAGGAGAGAAGGAGAAUUGAGUUUCUCUGAGAAACUUUGAGAAACUAUUCUCAUCCAAUUUGGACAAGUGUCAUCAUGCUGUUAGUUCAAUUAUUAAAUAAUAAUUAAUGUAUCUGUUUUAAUUAAAAUAUUAAUAUUUUUUUGUUUGAGAAAUUUUCUUGUUUUUACUGAUGGAGAUGGUCUUAUAUUCUUCAUCUUCAACACUUCUCUGAAAUUUCUACUCCCUAUAUUUGGACUCGCAUUUGAUGUCUUAGCUCCUACAUUUUAAAUCGAAGAAUUGUAUUUUAUGCAUAUGUCUUCUCUCUUUAGAUUAUCUUGCUUUUUUCAGUUAUGUUAGAUCAACAAAAUGGUUAGUGAUAAGAUUAUGAAAUUUUAAGAGAUGUAUCUUUGUCAAGCCGAUUAACCGGCGGAAGUCUCCAUGUCGUAAACCACCAUUUUCGUUGUAGGCACAAUUUCGGUUUAUUUUUUCGGACAACUUUCGGGAUGUACAAACCGAGCAAUUAGCAUGGUUUUCAUUAUCUCAUCAUGUCUCUCUUUUUUUUUGUCAUGUUAUAUAGAUACUCCUUUUGAAAUCUUUUUCGUAGCAUACGGUUCAUUUUAACUUAAGUAUUACUUUGAUUUUGUGUAGUUGGAAUAAUUUUGGGACACGUUUUUAUUGUAAGAUGAAUUAAUUAAGAGCAUAUUGAUCCAAUAAAAAGAAAUAAAAAAUCAUUGAAAAGUGGUAUUUUUGUAUAAAAUUCUCAAGUCUUAGGCAGUAUAUUCUUAACUUGAAUCGAGUAAGAGUGGUUAGAGAUACUAAUGAGAGGUAGUGCAGGAAAACCCCAACCGAAUAAAUAGUAUUGUAUACAGACUUUAAAAUUUAAAACUCAGCAUCAUCUCAUAAACUAUGGGGUAGUAAUUAUCAAGUUUAUAACAGAAACCACAAACAAAUAUAUAUGAAAAGAGAGUGAGAGACAAGAAGAGGUAAAUAAUACAAACCAGAAAAAGUGAAACUAUGAACCAACACAAUUUGAUCAGAACUCUCAAAGGGAAGAAGAUACAGACAUCUUCUUCUUCUUCAAUCCCACAUCGAGGAAAUGCCAAAGGAUCCGAGUUGCCCUAUUUACAUAUAUAAGAGAACCCGCUGGUCAAGACAGCGGAUUCCAACUCCGAGAGGUUCUUCAAAGAAGAGCCAACACCACCAUUAUGUUUUUGGUAUUGUUUUGUGGAGAGAGUUCCAUAUGAUGC
rnacentral:lncRNA from 1 species